rnacentral:lncRNA from 1 species
GCCUCUCCCAUUCAGGUUCUAUAUUUAAAUCGUAGAGUUUUGCUGCAUAGUAUACUCUAUCAUAUGAUAAUUAAUGGACUAUAUAUCGUUAUUUGCAUGCAGAGAUGACUUGGAAGUUUACUUAACGGAACUUAAAAAUCUUACCUUGAAAAUCCUUGACCUAAUGGCUAAAGCUCUAAGAAUGGAUCCCAAUGACAUGAUAGAGUUGUCUGAAAACGGGAUGCAAUCAUUAAGGAUGAAUUAUUAUCCUCAUUGUCCGCAACCAGAGCAAGUUCCUGGCUUUAAGCCUCAUUCUGAUGGCUCCGUACUCACCAUCCUCCUCCAAAUCAAUGAGAUGGAUGGUCUCCAAAUUAAGAAAGAUGGAAAAUGGGUUGCUGUUAAACCCCUUCCUGAUGCCUUUAUAUUCAACAUUGGUGACGUUUUAGAGGUAACACUGGUCAUUUUCUAUAGCCUAUUAUAAGUAACGCUAUGUCUCUACGUAGUUUCUACCUCUAGUAAUGUUAAAUGACAUCUAACGUGUCUUUUAUUGGUAAGUAGAGUAGAAUCAUUGUAUAAUUUGUAUUAAUAAUAGAAAAUAAAGUCUACUAACAACAAAUCUAUAAUAAGAAAUAAUUGGUGACACGUCGCUUGCAAUAAAAACUAAGCUAUUAGCAUAGGAUAUAUAGUUGAUGACUAGUUUCAUCUAAUUUCUUCCUCCUCUUGAUUAUACUCUCUAACUUUUUUUUUUUUUAGGUUCUAUUGAGUAAUGAAAAAUACUAGCUCGACCAUGCCCUCAUCUCUCAUCCUGAGGCGAAUCUCUUCAGCUGAAUGGCACGAGAAGAGUCCUGGUAAAACAUCUUAUACAAGCAUGUGCCAACUAGAGACGAGCACCAACCAGAGAAAUAUACCGACCAGAGAUGUAUACCAGCCAGAUGCUCAUCAACAAAAGAAAUGGCACACGAUCUCAUGAAAUCGCGAUAGUUUCGCUAUGUCCUAAACCAUUAAGGACAUGGCAUCCCAGGUUUACCCACGAUCUAGUGGUUGGAGACCCAUGAGGGUCUGCCAUCACCCAAAAAAGGGGGACGUGAAGAGUACGCAGAAACGUGGGGCAACGGCUAUAAGAAGCCAGAAGACUGAUGAAAAAAAAGAUAGAAAAAUUGAGAGUAAAGGGAAAACUCUACCAAAUUGAAACCAUAUUACAUUCCAUACAAAUUUUUGAGAGCAUUACAAGAAAUCACACAAUUUAAAUUACAUAGCUUUCCUAUAAACACUUUGUGCUAACUUAAGCAUCAGAGGGUUUACGCCGGUAAAACCACCGGCGUCUCUGAUCCGUUUUUGUGAACGCAAGCUUAGGAAGAGGAGAAAUGGUAAUUCCAACCCCAGGAACUCAAACAAUCGUUGAAAUAGAAAGAAGGUGACAUCUUCUCUAUUAACCACAUAAACGUUGAUGAAAAGAUUUGGUCGGGUAAAGAGCGAGCAGAUUUCAGCAUCAACAUUUUGGCGCCGUCUGUGGGGAGCUGGAUAAAAAGCUACCACCAAGUUAGUAGUCAUCAGAGGAAUAGCGAACGAUCAAUUAUGGAUAUGACGAGAAAGGAUGCCCUAGGGGGCGACAAUAAAACUGGUGAAACGAUUACUCUCCGAGAGAUCACAAAUGAAGCUAGAGAGAGGAUGAUGCAAGAUCGAAUAGAACGGAUGGAGAAGCAAAUGAAGACUCUCACAGCUAUAUUACAUGAGCUGAGGGAUGAACAGAGAAGGGAUUGUGAGACCACCGUCGUGAGAGACGAAGUCGUAGUGAAACCCAGCCUACGGAGGCAUAGAAUCGAGGAGAUCCCUCCGCUAGUAGACCAACCCUAUGGGGUGCAUCCCCAUAGAAGUGCAGGUUGGAUCCCAGGAGAGCGCGUGGAUGAAGGGAGAGACCAGUCUCGCUCUGGGCGAGUUCCGGAAAUUGAUGGCUGAGGAGCGAAUAUUGAUGAGGGUGAGCUCAGACAGCGGUUGCAUAAUGCCGAGCAGGAGCGAGAUCAAACAGUUGCACGUGAUCCUGACCGUGCUUUAGAGUUGGAAGGUGAGGUACGCAGGUUGGCGCAGGUGAUGGAUGAAAUCCAGGGCAAGAGAAAGCCUCCGAGCUGAUGGAUAAUGUUGGAUGAAGAAUCUCUGCUAUCAACCGAGAUCAUGGGUACCGUAAUCCCAAGAGAUUUCUGUUUUCCUGACCUCAAAUACUCCGGGAGAAGUGACCCGAUGGUGCAUAUUGAGCGUUUUAAUGAUAUGACGGGUGUGCAGGGGCUAACACUAGCUCAGAGGUGCAGGGUGUUCCCAUUGACACUAGAGGGACGAGCCCGAGAAUGGUACCGUAAGCUGCCACGAGGAAGUAUAGGGGGAUAUGAGCAGAUGUGCCAAGAGUUGGCCGAGCAGUUCCGAGGAGAGGUAGCCCCAGAGGACGAUAUGAUAGAAUUGAUGGGGAUGAAGCAGGAGGAACACGAAUCCCUUCGGGAUUUUGUGAAAAGAUACCAUCGGGCCGUGCUUGAUCUGGGAGCUUUCAAUCACGCACAGGCAUUGAGAGGAUUAAAAGAGGGUGUGAGGAUAUGCCGAUUGUGGUACAACUUGAGAAGUCCCAUCGUUCAGAAUUAUUCAGCAGGGUAUGAGUAGGCGAGGAGAGACAUAGAAAUUGAAGAGGAAAAAACGGCAAGGAUAAAGAGUGAACAACUAGAGGAGCUGAGGCGAAAGGAAAAGAGAACCCUGAGUGGGAGCGGGUCGGGAAAGCGAGCUGGGGAACCAUCAGUAAUGAGAGGAAUAUCAGCUCAGUCUCGCCCUUAUCCCAUAACUUAAACACCACAACAGUUCCAACACAACCGAGCUCAGCCUCAACGCCUCCCAUUCCCGGAGCGGCAACGAGAAUUCUGGCAGAUGGCUGCCCAUCCUUUUCACAACGCUCCCAGAGCACUGCAUGCAGUUAACUCUAAGGCUGGUCGACCAAACCAGCUACCUGCAAUACCAGCCCGGGAUGAUAUCCACGAUAGCCGAGCGGUCCAACUGAUUGAUCAGAGCUUGGCGUAUAAACAGUACACCCCAUUGAAAGUCUCUCUGGAGGAGUUGUAUGAGAGGAUCGAGGGACGAGGCCUCUUGUACCCUCCUGCCCCUAUAACCAAACCCGCCCACAAAUGUGAUAAAAGCAGAUUCUGUAAAUUCCACGACACUCAUGGUCACACUAUCAGCCAGUGUCGUGACCUGAAGACUCAGGUUGAGGAUUUGGUGAGGAACCGGUACUUGGAUGAGUAUGUUGAUGGAGUGUCCCCUAUCAUUGAAUCACAAUACACGUUAGAUGAUGGAGUUGAGAGGAGUCUAGAGCUUGAACAACCAACUAUUCGGGUGAUAGCAGGAGGCCUGACAUUGGCUGGAGAUUCGAAUAGAGCACAGAAGAAUUAUGAGAGAUAUGCUCUGACCAACAAAGAGGUGAUAUUCAAUUUGCCAACAGCCAAGAGGGCAGAAGUAAAGCAAGUUCUCAUUAUGUGGACAGAUGAAGAUGAAGAAGGUGUCUUAUACCCUCAUGAGGAUGCACUGGUAAUCAAGGCGAUGGUGGCGGGUAAAGAAUUCCGGCGAAUACUGGUGGAUACGGGCAGCUUAGUCGACAUAUUAUUUAAGUCGGCCUUAGACGAUAUGGGGAUUGCGGAUUUGAAAUUGGAACGGACGAACACAUCUUUGAAGGGAUUUAGAGGAGGACGGUUGACCCCCAUGGGGAUCGUCGAGCUGCCGAUUACUGUAGGAACAAAACCAUUUGAAAAGACAGUGAUGCUGGACUUUGUAGUAGUGGAAGAGAAAAGCCCUUACCAGAUGAUAUUGGGGUGACAUUUCAUGAGGGUAAGCCAAUGCGUUUUAUCCACACAUUAUCUGGCGUUGAAAUACAGAGUGAACGGGGUUGUGGGCAUAGUAAAAGGUGACCAGAGAAUGGCAAAGAGUUGCUACGCUACAGCCGCCAAGGAAACAUUACAAGUUACCACUCUGAAUAACCGAGGAGAUUCUAAAAAGGGUCGCCAGGAGCCAGCUGAGAAACUGGAAGAGAUUUUGGUGAGCAAGAAUAACCUGAGUAGAGUGGUAAGAAUCGGGUUAGGAUUGGGCGAGCGCGAUAAAAGGCGAGCUGGUAAAGUGCCUACAAUCCCAUGCAGAUAUAUUUGCCUAGUCGCAUGAGGACAUGACAGGAAUUGAUCCCGGGGUAGCUUGCCAUAAGCUGGCAAUCAGAAAAGGGGCAAGACCAGUGAGGCAGAAAAGGAGGUGCUUUAACCAGGAAAUGUACGAGGCCAUAAAUGCUAAGGUGGAGAAGCUGUUGAGAGCAUGAUUCAUAAAGGAGGCUAAAUACCCGGAGUGAAUUUCUAAUGUAGUGUUGGUAAAGAAGGCCAACGGGAAAUGGAGAAUGUAUGUGGAUUUCACAGACCUUAACAUGGCAUGCCCAAAUGAUGGCUUUCCCCUACCUAAAAUAGAUCAAUUGGUUGACUCAACGGCGGGUCAUAGUUUGCUCAGCUUCAUGGAUGUCUUUUUGGGAUACAACCGGAUACCCAUGGACGAGCAGGAUGAGGAGAGUUCCACCUUUAUAACUAACAUGGGUUUGUUUUGCUACAGGGUGAUGCCCUUUGGCCUGAAAAAUGUAAGGGCUACCUAUCAAAGAUUGGUGAAUAAGAUUUUCAAGCCAUUGAUCGGUCACACUAUGGAGGUAUACGUGGACGAUAUGAUCACGAAGUCUAAAGAACCGAAGGAUCAUGUGAAGCACUUAGAAGAGACCUUUGAACUACUGAGGAAGUACCAAAUGAAGUUGAAUCCGGAGAAAUAUGCAUUUGGAGUUAGCUCGGGCAAAUUUUUGAGGUUCCUGGUGAGCCACCGAGAGAUCGAGGCCAACUUAUAAAAAAUACGGGCAGUAACAGAAAUGAAGUCCCCCCAGACAGUUAAGAAAGUGCAAAGCCUUACAAGGAAGUUGGCAGCAUUGAACCAGUUCAUCUCGCAGGCCACGGAUAAAUGUCACCCUUUUUUCCAAACCAUAAAGAAAUAGAGGAAAAUGGAGUGGACAUCAGAAUGUAAGGAGGCAUUCGGGCAGCUGAGGGAAUAUUUUGCCCGUGCCCCAUUACUAUCGACUCCAAGAGAAGGUGACAAGCUGUAUUUGUACUUGGUUGUCUCUAAAUGGGCUACCAGCUCGGUAUUAGUCAGAGAAGAAGAAGGAAAACAACACCCCGUGUACUACACUAGCAAGGCCCUGGUGGACGCAGAAACUAGAUAUCCACUAAUAGAGAAAUGGGCGCUAGCUUUAAUAACGGCAUCACGCAAGCUCAGACAAUAUUUUCAGGCCCACCCGAUAGUAGUGAUGACUGUCUAACCUCUUCGGUAAAUGCUUCAAAAACUAGAUGCAUAUGGUCAGCUAGUAAAAUGGUCUGCAAAGCUAGGCGAAUUCAACCUAUCUUACAGACCACGAGGAACAAUCAAAGCCCAAGCCCUGGCUGAUUUUAUAGUUGACCGUAUUGAACCAGGGGAAGAAGUUCAGGAGGAGCAACCAGUUGAACAGGAGAAACCAAAGGGGGUGUGGCUGGUAAUGGUUGAUGGGUCACGUAGGGAACAGGGGUCCGGAGCAGGAGUUGUAUAUAUGAAGCCCAGAAGGGGCCGAGGUAUCCUAUGCAGUAAAGUUCAAAUUCCAGCUCACGAAUAACCAAGUCGAAUACGAAGCCUUCAUCACUGGGAUCGGGCUGGCACACGCACUAUGAGCAGAGAGGGUAGAAAUCCGAGCAGACUCCCAGUUAGUCUGUAAUCAGCUUAGUGAACAAUUCCAAGGGAGGGAAGAGAAGAUGGGGCUUUAUUUGAAGAAGACAAAGCAGAUGGUUGGGCUUUUCCAAGAAGUAGAAAGAAAGCAGAUAUCCCAGAAUGAAAAUUACCGAGCAGAUAUGUUGGCCAGAAUGGCCGCAAUUACAGAUCCAAAGUUACCCAAGUCGGUUCUAUUGGAAGUAAGGACCUCGCCAAGCAUAGGGGAGGAGGUGGAAGUAAUGUAGGUGAGCACCGAAAAAUCCUAGAUGGACCUGAUUCUCUCAUACAACCGCGAUGGCAUUUUACCAGAGGACAGGAAGCAAGCAAGGAAGUUGAAAUGUCAGGCAGCAAGGUAUACGCUACUCGUUGGGGUACUCUACCGCCGAGGAUUCACUUUGCCCCUUUUAAGAUGUUUGGAUGACGAGGAAGCAAAUUAUGUGCUGAGGGAGAUUCAUGAAGGAAUAUGCGGCAACCACUCGGGGGCAAGGACUUUGGCCUUCAAGUCACUUCAGCAAGGGUACUUUUGGCCGACUAUGCACCAGGAUGCGAAGGGGAUGGCAAAAAACUGUAAAGUCUGCCAAAGCUUCUCGGAGGUUCCCCUUCAGCCCCUAGAAAGGCUAACCGCUAUGUCAUCCCCAUGGCCUUUUACCCAGUGGGGAAUUGACCUGAUUGGCCCAUUACCUAAAGGCCGAGGAGCCGCAACACAUACAAUUGUGGCUAUAGAUUACUUUACUAAAUGGGUAGAAGUGGGAGUCCUUAGCCAAAUCACGAAAAGAAAGACAAUAAAUUUUAUCUAGAAGAAUAUCAUCUGCAGAUACGGGAUUCCCUAUGCCGUCAUAACAGACAAUGAGAGGCAGUUUGACAACCACAACUUCAGAGAAUUUUGCCAAAACUUGGGUGUAGAUCUGAAGUUUUAUACCUCGGCACACCCCAGGCAAACGGGCAAGUAGAAGCAGCCAACAAAGUAAAGAAACUCCUGAAAACCAGGUUGGGAGAGAAGAAGGGAGCUUGGGUCGAUGAGCUACCAGAAGUGUUAUGGGCCUACCGGACAACCCACAAAAUUGCCACGGGAGAAACCCCGUUUGCCUUAGCUUUUGGUCAUGAGGCAGUAAUCCCAGCAGAAAUCAGGGUGGGGACACAUCGGACAGAGUAUUUCAACAAGGAACAAAAUGACGAGCAGAUCUGCAUGAGUCUAGACCUGCUGGAGGAGAAAAGAGAAGGGGCCUCGCAGAGAGUGGCCAAAUGCCAGCAAAGAAUCAUGCACUACUACAACAAGAAUGUACGCAUGAGGCAGUUCCGAGCAGGAGAUUGGGUACUUAGAAAAGUGAACCAAAAUACAAGAGAUCCUAAUCAUGGCGUUCUUGGCCCGAAAUAGAAGGGCCCGUAUAGAUAAAGGACCAACAGGCAAAAUCCAUUAAAUUUGUUAAGGCAAGCAAGUGUCUAUUCCUGGUCGGUCGGCUAAAGAACUAGCAGGUAAAAUCUAUUAAAUUAGUUAAGGCAAGCAAGUGCCUAUUCCUGCUCGGUCGGCUAAAGGACCAAUAGACAAAAUCCAUUAAAUUUGUUAAGGCAAGCAAGUGUUUAUUCCUGCUCGGUUGACUAAAGGACCAGCAGGCAAAAUCCAUUAAAUUUGUUAAGGCAAGCAAGUGCCUAUUCUUGCUCGGUCGGCUAAAGGACCAGCAGGCAAAAACUAUUAAGUUGUUAAGGCGAGCAAGUGCCUCUUCCUGCUCAGUCGCCUAAGAGACCAGCAGGCAAAUCCUACAAAAUUCUACUGAGGCAAACAUGUGCUAACUCCUGCUCGGUCGUUGAAGGACCAACAGGCAAAAUUCUACGAAACCGUUAAGGCAAGGAAUCACCUAUUUUUCCUCGGUCACUCAAAGACAAGCAAACAUAUUUUUUAAGGUAAUUUGCAGAAACAACUCAUAAGCAAAAUCGUGGCAAGAAAGCAAUCGGAAAGCAUCAAAAGUUUAUAAACAUUCAAGUGUUUGUAAACAAAUUCAGAAUUUACUUUAAAAGCAAGCCUAAGGAUUAUGAUGUUCAGCAGCCUCAGUAGGAGAAGGAUCAGCAAUCUCGGAAAGAGGAUGACCAAUGACUUUUGGAGGAGCAGGCGUUGACCCCUGACCUGCUUCCAGAUCAUGAUCCCCUACUUCCUCCUCAUGCACCCCACCUGAAGGUACCUCAACCUGAUCCUGGUCCCCCUGGUCCUUGUCUCCCUUAUCUGACUCGGUCAUAUAUUUCUGCACUCCCGCCUCCAGCUUGCUCAUGUUAAGCUCUGGAUAUUUUUCCUUAAGCAUAAACAUGAUGCACUUGUAGCAAAAGGCGAGCUCAGAAAAGGCAAGCAAGUGCUUAAUCCUGCUCGGUCGCCUAGAGGACCAGCAGGCAAAUCUAUAAUUUUUACUAAGGCAGGCAAGUGCCUAUUCCUGUUCGGUCGCCUAAAGGACCAGCAGGCAAGUUCUAUAAAUUUCGCUAAGGCAAACAAGUGCCCGUCCCUGCUCGGUCGAUUAAAGGACCAGCAGGCAAAGUCAAUUAAAUAUGUUAAGGCAAUUUGCAGAAACGGUCCAUAAGCAAAACCAUGGCAAGAAAGCAAACAGAAAGCAUCAAAAGUUUAUAAACAUCCAAGCGUUUGUAAACAAAUAAAAAUCUAAAAUUUACAUAGAAAAUAAGCCUAAAGAUCAUGAGGUUCGGCAGCCUCGGUAGGAGAAGGAUCACCAAUCUCAGAAAGAAGAGGACCAGCAACUUCUAGGAGAAUAGGCCUUGACCCCUAGCCUGCUUCAAGAGCACGAUCCCCUGUUCCCUCCUCCUGAACCCCACCUGAAGAAGCCUCCACCUGAUCCUGGUCCCCCUGCUCUCUAUCCCUCUGGUCGGACUCGGCCAUAUAUUUCUGCACUCCCGCCUCCAGCUUGCUCAUGUUAAGCUCAGGAUAUUCCUCUUUAAGCAUAAACAUGAUGCACUUGUAGCUAACGGCAGGCCUAAAGUUAUACUCUGCAUCCAGCCGAUCAUCCACCUCAGCAGAUUUACCUUUCAGCUCGGCUACCUGCUCAUUCAAGGACUUGAUUUGCUCCUCGAGGGUCGUCUUCAAGGUAUCUCGUUCACUUUGAGUAGCCUGGAGAUCAGACUUUAGGUCACCCAACUCGCUCUCAAGCUUGGAGGAGUUGGACUCAGCAAUGGCCACUUUCUCCUCCAGGUCCAUGAUCUGCUUGUGCAGAUCAAGUCCUGGUUGUCAGCUUGAAGCCUCCUCUCAUGGCGCGUGGACCUGUUCUUGUAGCAAGAAACCAGAGUAGCCAGCUUAAAGGAAACCCUCUGAAUGGAACCAGCUAACUCGCUAAGGUUCAUGCUUUCAAUAUCUUUGACCAUUUUGGGUCCCAGUGACUUGCCAUAGUCCCUCUGGUACGGGGUUAGAUAGUCACCCUGGUCCCGAGGCGGAAGAGGAGAGGAUCGGUCUCCAUAUUGAACACUGACCUCAGGACUCUUGUCGCUAACCUUCUCCUCGCCAUUCUUUCGAGGUGGAGAAGGAGGCAGAGCAGGAGCAGGAGCAGAAGUCUUGGAAGAGCCAACAUUGGUUUUCUUCAGGGGAAGGGGGUUGCUAGAGCUACCUGAACCCCGAGCACGUUUCUUUGAUAUAGCGUUGAGGAUCUUGUUAUCCAUCCCGGCAGCUAUGUCCACUAAGCGUGACCCAACAAGAUUUGUUGACGACAGGAGAUCUUGACAGGUAGACGCAUUCACCAGAGUAGUUUCCACCUUGAGCAACGGUUUGUCGUCAAGUUUCUUGAUCAGGCCCCACGACUCUAAAAGAAUGAACAAGGUUAAGGAACCCAAUAAGUAACGAUCAGAGAAGUGAAGUAUGCAGAAAAAUAAACGAUCUGGGGUGACAAAACGCGUUGGAAGGUGAAUAUCACCACCAAGCGAAUGGAUUGCUGGACACAAAUAUCCCCCAGCAAAGAAGAGUUUGUUCUUCCAGUUUUUACAUGAGGAAGGAAAGCCGGUGAUAGGCUUCAUCUUCGCAGAGCUUGACAUGAAGUAGUACCAGCCUGCUUCCCUUGGGUUGCUCCUCAGCUGAUACAAAUGCUUUACUUCCACAAGGGAAGUCUCCCCGUGUCCACACCUUUCCCAUAGCACAUACAAGGCUGAAAGAACCCUCCACCCAUUCGGGUGAAGCUGACCUGGAGCCAGAUGCAUGCCACCAAAUAUCUUGGAAAAAUAAGGUUGAAGGGGCAACCGAGCCCCUAACUUGAAACUCUCCAGAUGCAUCGUCACAUACUCCUUUGGAGGCCGACUGGGGACGUCACCUUUCCCAGGGAUUACAAGAAGAACGUCCUCAAGGAUAUUGUAAAGAUUUCUAAGCUUGAGUAGGUCAGUGUGGGUAGUAGCACAAGCAAUUUAGUCAAUGGGGUAAGCAUCUGCCUCCAUCCUAUGAUCAAGAUUUCUCUUCUUAGAGGGUCAGCUCUGCUCGAAACUGCUCUCCUCACCGUCACCCACUUCCUCAGGGACCCCAGCCCCCUCAGAACUGUGAUUUUCACCAGAGCCCGACGCUGGUCUACCACGGUUUCCCACAGGUUUUAAAUCAAGGGAAGGCAAAGUGGUCAUGGGACGAGGGUAUUUAGGGGUAUCCCUAUGGUAGGAGGGACCUACACUGCGAGAAUAGCAUAGGAGAUCAUUGGGUCCAAACAGGUUGGGGUAUGAAUCCUCUAUCUCUUCGUCACUCUCAUCUACAAUUAUUUUUCCCUUUCAGUUUGACAUAUCGGAAUUUUAAAAGGGAAAGCACAGCAAAUCCAAGUAUAUAGGUACAAAAAGGGACAAUACAGAACCCAAGCAACAACAACCAGAGAAGAAGUUAAAGGCGAUACCUGAAAUAGAUUGGCACUGGUAGCGUUGCCGUGACGGAGAAAGGGCCCAGCAAAUAGAGGUUUCCGACGCGGAAAGUGCGAUUAAAGUCCAAAGAGGGAGUUGGCUUACGGCAGAAUGGCAGAUAGCGAAACGCAAUGGCAGUUUCAAUUUAGGGAUUUAAAACGAAAUGGGGGAAUGGAGGCGUUUAAGUUACGCGGAUGUCAGCUCAAUUGCCGCAUAUCGAGGAUAGAUAAGCCGUCGUUUCGAAUUUCAAAUACGAAAGGGCAAGAAGCGACACGUCACUGGCCAUUAGAAAAGGUCUGAUGAGACGUUAGCCUAGCUAUAUAGUGGACACGCUCACGAAGGCCCAUACUCAGACCGAAAUCUCCUUAAACAAGAGAAGGAACCUCAGGUCCAUCACAAUAACACGAGGACCAGAGAGAUGUUUUCCGAAGUCGGUAAGAUCCAAUUCUCAGUUUCUAAUCUCAACUCGUUUCACUCGCAAGACCAGAAACUGGGGGACUGGUGUUGAGUAAUGAAAAAUACCAGUUCGGCCAUGCCCUCAUCUCUCAUCCUGAGGUGAAUCUCCUCAGCUAAAUGGCACGAGAAGAGUCCUGGUAAAACAUCUUAUACAGGCAUGUGCCAACUAGAGACGAGCACCAACCAGAGAAAUAUACGGACCAGAGAUGUAUACCAGCCAGAUGCUCAUCACCCAAAAAAAGGGCGCACGAUCUCACAAAAUCGCGACAGUUUCGCUAUGCCCCGAACCGUUAGGAAGGACAUGGCAUCCCACGUUUACCCACGAUCCAGUGUUUGGAGACCCAUGAGGGUCUGCCAUCACCCGAAAAAAGGAGACGUGAAGAGUACGCAGAAACGUGGGGUAACGGCUAUAAGAAGCCAGAAGACCGAUGAAAAAAAGGGCAGAAAAAUUGAGAGUAAAUGGAAAACUCUGCCAAAUUGAAACCAGAUUACAUUCCAUACAAAUUUUUGAGAGCAUUACAAGAAAUCACACAAUUUAAAUUAUAUAGUUUUCCCAUAAACACCUUGUGCUAACUUAAGCAUCGGAGGGUUUAUGCCGGUAAAACCACCGGCGUCUCUGAUCCGUUUUUGUGAACGCAGGCUUAGGAACAGGAGAAAUGGUGAUUCCAACCCCAAGAACUCAAGCAAUCGUUGAAACAGAAAGAAUGUGACAUCUUCUCUAUUGACCACAUAAACGUUGGUGAAAAGAUCUGGUCGGGUAAAGGACGAGCAUAUUUCAGCAUCAACAGGUUCAAUUUAUGAUCCUAUAGAUUUUUAGCAAUGGAACCUAUCGUGAUAUUGAACAUCGUGUGACUGUAAACUUAAUGAAGGAAAUGUUAUCUUUCACUACAUUUUACAGCCUAAAAUUAGAUGGAGAAUUGGGUCUACCACCAAGUCUUAUGAUAUUUUCAUGCAGAUACACUUUAAAACCGCGGAGUUUAAAAAAAUUAGUUUUUAAAUCUUUUAAACCUCACAGUUUUAUAAUUCAUUCAAAAUUUUUUUUUAAAUCACACAGUUUAAAAUUGUGACCGCAUUAAUAAAAAUACGGGUGUCUGCACCUGAGAAUAAAUUUUAUUGAAUAUUGAUAAAUUAAAAAAUAAAGACGUGAAACACAUACUAAGUGUUGAUCUUGCAGCAAUGAUAUUUGCAGUAUUGGAGAAUUAUUGAUGGAAUAGAAAAACAAAAGAAGAAGAAUUGGGGUAGAGAUCGUGCAUAAAGAAAAAAAAACGAAUAAAAAUAAUAGUGGUCUUGAAUUUUUUUAUUUUAUUUCUUAAUUAAUUAAGGAUAAUUUUUGUUUUAUGUAAUAAUAUAUUUAAAAUUAUUUAAGUAUAAAAUUUGUUCUCAAAAUUAAAGUUAUAAUAAUUUUCUUAAAAUUACCAAACAAAAAUUAAAUUUUAAUAUUUUAAAAUUACUUUUGAGUCAAAACAGUAAUCUUAAAUGAGCCCUUAUUCAAUUACCUGGAUAAAACAAAAUUGAAUUUAAAUUUUAAGGACUUCAAUUAUAAUGCAGUUUAAAAAGUCACGGUCCCCUUCUAAAUUGCGUGAUUUCUACCAACGAUGCGGACUCAACUAUGAAAUAUCCCAAUAGUUUCGUAACUUCUAUGAUUGGGCACGCGAACUUGACAGGCAUUGUCAUUGUUGUAUAUUUGUCUAUAUUUAAUUUACGAUUUUACAACGUAACACUUGGGGGAAAAAAAAAACCAAAAAAAUUCGUGUACACAAGUUUGUGUGGUCAGCCUGGUUUUAUAUUUCAAAAUGCCAGUUUUGUGGGAUUAGUACCAAUCUAAAGAUAAACCACACAAUGUGACACUACAUGGAUAAGAAUACUAUUCUACUGUGAAAUCUUAGCUUAUCUUAGUUUUAAUUGAACGAACGUUUGGGAUAGACAAAUGAUAUUUGAACACUAUAAUGGCUCUAGGAUAUAAUACAAGUGAUGGUAGGUUGCGUAAAUGAUCCGCAUCAUUUUAGUGUGUCACAAAAUUAUGAUUUAUCGAAUAAUAAUAAUAUCAUAGAGUGAUUUUAUUUGUACCUUAAAUUUUAUUUUAAAGACUGUAAUUUUUAAUAAAAAUAUUAUUACAAAAACUCCUCUAAUAUCAUUUACUAAUAAAAACAAUUCAAUUUAAGUUAAUAGAAUAUCAUUACUCUUCACACCAUUGAACGCACAUUCAAUUCAAUAAUCCAAUUACAAAACCCUGUACCUUUCUUUAACCAUAAAUCUAAUUUAUCAUUAGUAAAAGAAAAUAUUAAGGGUUUAAUAAAUAACCAACAAGCUACCAACAACAGCAAUUGAAAAACAAUUUUUGUUUAUGCCGAAAAAAUGAGAAACAUUAUUUUGAUUUAAAAAAUUAAAAAUAAAACUGUACGUUUCAAAACCCCAAAAAGAAAAAGGAAAAAUAAUAAGAGAUCAGCUGCAUAUUGCUGCUGCUUCAAAAUUAUCAAUUGGAAAUACAAACUUGACUCCAGUCUAUAACUCUCUGGUAAAAUUAAGAGACAUUUCUCUUUUGACGGAAGUUUAUUUCAUUCAAAGAGAUGAGAGUCAUUUUUUUUUUUUUCAAGAGAUUUGAAUAUCUUUAACAAUAAUAGAAUUACAUAGAAUAAAGUUCUUUAGUCAAUAAAGAAUUAAAUUGGGUGAGACGUAAGAUAUAAAUGGAGGACUAUUUUGGUAUUUAAAAGAAUGUGCUCAAUAAAAUCAAUUUUUUAAAUUUAUUAAAUGAGAGAACGAGUGUAUAGAAUAAAGUGAUACUGUAAAAUCUAGAUUUCAAAUAGCCCCAUAUUAAGUCAUGGUUUGUCUUUUUAUUUUAAUUUUGAAAUAGGUUUGAAUGUUACUGAAGUUUGAAUGGCUUUGAAUGCUUAAGCUAGAAUAAUAUGUUUGGUUUUUAUUUUUUGGCAUCUGAGUGUAAGUGGUAAGUUGUUUGUAUUUUUACAGUUAUGACUAGCUUAAAUAGAUAUGUAUUCAUAGUGUUUUCUAGUACAAUAGUUUUUAUAUGUUAUAAAUAUUUACAAGAAAAAUAAUUGAUAUAUAAUUUAUGAAAAAUAAUUUUGGUAACAUUAAUUUUUACAAUUUAGCAUAAUAUUUAUACAUAAAAAAAGUUGUUAUCUAUUAAUAAAAGAUUUUUUUUUAAAAUUUAUAUUGAAUGUAUGUUAAAUACUUAAUAUGUAGUAAAAUUUCUUAUCUAUUGCCGCUGGAAGAGGGUAUCUCUACUAGAAGUCUUACUGUUAGAAUAUUUCCAUUAAUCUUUCAAAGUUUUGUUGGGUAACUUGGCUUGAUGGCUAGAAUUUGAAUUGUUUUUCUUGGAGUUUAAUUGGGAAUUAACUAUUGUUUUAUAUUUUAGAUUUUUUUAUAUUUGAGAUGUUUUAUUAUGUAUUGGUGGUGACGACAUUGAAUACUAGAUGUAUUUUUUAAAAAAUUAAUUUGUUGGAUUGAAUGGAGGUUAACUAAUAUUAAUUGCUUUUAGUUUUUUUGACGAUAUUCAUUUUUAUUAGUUAAUUAAAUUUGUAAUUAGAAAUUCACAAAUAAAUUAUAAUCACAUAGAAUUUUUUUUUUUAAAAAAAUUGACUUUAUGAUGGGAAAUAAUCAUCAUAAUGUUUGUCAUAAAAAAUUUUGAGCCAAAAUUCAAUAAUAAAUUUACAAAUGAUAAUUUAAUUUCCCACCAAAAAUUUAAAAAAAUAGCGCAAAAAUUUAUAUAAAUUCAAAUUUUAAUUUAAUUAUUUUUUCACAUUAAAAUAUUGUGUGAUGGAUAUAUAACUGUAAAAUACUAUCAUGAAUUCAUGAUGGAAAAUAUUUUGUCAUAAAUUAAUGACAGUGAAAUAGAUAACAGAUGAACUGUCUGUCAUGCACUCCCUUUUACGAUAGUUAUUUCCCGUCAUCUAUUACCUGUUUUCUUGUUGUGAAAAUAGAUAUAAGUUUAAAUUAUCUUCUUUUUUUUGGAGUAUAUUUAAUGAUGUUUAGACAUGCCUUUUCCUUUUUAAAACAAGUAAAAUUGCAUAAAGUGAAAAAAGAACUCUAUAAAUUUGUUAUAUAAAAAAUAUGAUUAAAAUUCAUACUAAUACAUAACUCGAGAGAGAGAGAGAUUGAAUAUUAAAAACCAUGGUUAUAAAAUUAAUUUUAAAAGUUAUGGUUAAUUUUCAUGUGAAAUUGUUCAAAGUUAAAAAAAAAAUUUCAUAAUUAUAUACAUAUGUGUUUUAAUCUUAUAAUAGAAAAUAAAAGUAAAAUAUAAAAAAAAUACAAACUUACUAGGUCAAAACUUUGAUACUAGAGAAAAUAUCUAAUAGUUGUGUCGGUAAUUUGAUUGUGGUGGUAAUGUAAUAUCUAAUGGCUUAAUAUUAUGGUGUAUGAGAAAAUAAGACAAUUAUUUUUUUAAUUAAAAUAUUAAGGCUAUAAUAGGAACUUUAAAAAGGUAUGAUAGUUUAUUUAAUAAGCUGUUUAUGAAAAGCAACUCUCUACUUACUUUUAAAAGUCGUUGUCAAAAUGGAGAAAAUUAUGAAAUAAACAGUUUUUACAAAAUUUACCAAACAUUAUUUUUGUCACAAGUUACAAAAUAAGUUGCUUAUUGAGUUUCAACCUCAAUUCCAAACGGGGCAUAUAUUAUUAAGUCAACACCAGUUAGUCAUUUAGGUGCAAUAAGCAGUUUCUAUUAGAAAAUUCUGGUACAAGUGGCGUAUUAGAAAAUUCUGGUACAAGUGGCAGAGGGAAAGAAGUAAUAGAGUAAUAGGAUUCUCAUAUAACUAAUUAUCACCACAUUAUUGAAGUCCAAAAAGCUAUUAAGCUAUAUGGCUUGAUAACUUUUCCGAACUUUAAUAAAUCCAUGUUUUAGAUUGGAAUGUGCGUAUAUAAUUCACCUUAAAUUUUAUUAAAUAUUUAAAAACACAUAUUAACCUAAGUGUUGAUCUUGAAACAAUAAUAUUUACAUUAUUAUAGAAUUGAUCUUGAAACAAUAAUAUUUACAUUAUUAUAGAAUUCUUGAUGGAAUGGAAAAUAGAAAGAAGAAGAAUUGGGGUAAAGAGCAUGCACAAAGAAAAAAAAAGAAAAUCAAAAUAAUAACGAUCUUAAAUUUUCUGAUUUUAUUUGCUAACUAAUUAAGAAUAAUUUUGUUUUAUGAAAAUGUGUAACAAUAUAUGCGGAAUUAUGUUAAGUAUAAAAUUGAUUCUUAAAUUCAAAAUUUGUGGUGAUUUUAAAAAAAAUUAUCAAAAUUAAAUUUUUGAGUUAAAAAAUUAUCAAAAUUAAAAUUUUGAUUUAAAAAAUAUCAAAAUUAAAAUUUUGAUUUAAAAAAAUUAUCAAAAUUAAAUUUUAACUUCUUUAAGUGACUUUAGAGUCUCAAUAGUAAAUCUUAAAUGAGUCGUUAGUCAAGAUGAAAGAAAAACAAAUGUAAAUUAUUUUAAAAAGUCAGGGUGCCCCUUAAAUUUCGUAAUUUCUACCAACGACAAGGACCGAUCAACAAAAAAAAAAUCCCAAAAAUUUCGUAAUUUCUAGAUUGGGGACGUGAACUUGAUAGCGAUAGUUGUCCAUUUUGUCAUUGUUGUAUGCCUGUCUGUACCUAUUUUACUACUGUAUGCUCAAUUCAAUAAUUAGGGUACACAAUUUUGUGUGGCCAGCCUGGUUUCAUAAUUCAAAAUGCCAAUUUAGUCGUAUUAGUACCAAUUCAAAAAUUAAUCACGCAAAUGCGAGAAGAGAUGGAUACGAAUACUAACCAAGUUGAUAACAAUCCUUUGGCAUUCUGAUCUUAUCUGAGCUUUAGUUAGGGGAGCCUUGACAGAGACAAAUGAUAUUUAAACACUAUAGUGACAUUAAGAUGUGACUGAAGUUUUAUUGUUCAAUGAACAAAACAUUAUGGGUGGAACGUUAUUGCAAAAGAUACGAAUACUAAAUGGAUACGAAUACUAACGAAGUCGAUAACAAUCCUUUCGCAUUCGGAUCUUAUCCGAGCUUUAGUUAGGGGAGCGUUGACAGUGACAAAUGAAAUUUAAACACUAUACUUUAAAUUUUAUUCUGAACACUUUAAUUUUUAAUAAAAAUAUUAUUGCAAAAGUUACCCUAAUAUAAUUUACUAAUAAGAACAAGUCAAUUCAAGUUAAUAGAAUAUUAUUACUCUUAACACCAUUUAACACACGCUCAACCCAGUAAUCCAAUUACAGUUACACCUCAUAAAAUAUUAGAAGUUUCAUAAAUACCCAACAAGCUACCAACUAUAGAAGCUGAAUAAAAAAAAAUAGAAAUUUACGAGUAACAUUAUUUUGUUUUAAAAAAUAAAAAAUAAAACUGUAAGUUCCGAUUAAAAAAAUGAAAAAGAAAAACAAAUCAGUUGCUUAUUUCUAUUGCUUGAAGAUUAUCAAUGAAGAACAUGAAUUGGAUUCUAAUAUAUAACUCUCUAGUAAAGAUAAGAGAAAAUUCUCUUUUUUUAAAAAAAAAAAAAAUAUUAUUUCAUUUAAAGACAUCACAGUGAUAGAGUGAUAUUUUGUUAAACAGAGACUUAAAUAUCUUGUUAACAAUAAUAGACUUAUUUAGAAUGAAGUACUUUGAUAAAGAAUUAAAUUGGGUGAGAUCAUAAUCAUAUAUAAAUAAAAGACUGUUUUGGUAUAUAAAAGAACGUAUAGAAUAAAAAUUAAUUUUUAAAAUUUAUUAACUGAGUGAAAAAAAUCAAAUGAUAUUCAAAAUUAAAUUUAGAGUGUAAAUAAUUCCAUUAUAAAAUUAAUUUUAUCGUCCUGUGGAUUAGUGGAUUGAAUUAGAUUAAAAAUUUAAAAAUCCGCAGUCAAUAAAUUAGAUAUAGAUUUACUUCUAUAAAUUCAUAAAAAUCUGUAAAUUUGCAAAAACAAAAAUUAUUUAAUUAAAAUAUUAAACUUGUAAAUGUGGCAUUACUACUUACUAAUAACAAAAUAAGUUAAAAAUGUAGUUACGUUAAUAGCAUAUUAUAUCUUAUUCAUGAUAAUAUAAAAUAAAAAAUAAUUAAAUAAGUAAAAAUAGCUUCUUAAACAGUUAAUUUUCAUAAUUUUAGUUAAUUUUUAUGUAUUGAUUUAAAAAAAUGAGAUUGUUUCUUCUUGUUGUUUUAUAUUUGAAACUUUGAAUGUAUUUUUCUAGUUUUAUUUAAAUGAUUAAUUUAUUUAAAUCUUAUUAAAUUUUAAAUUUGACAAAAUUAAAAAUUCUUAACUUACCUGCUGUACGGCCAAGGCGGAUGUACGGUACAGCAGAGACUGGGGUUUCUUUCAGGUACAUAACAAUUUAGCAGUGAUAUUCAGAUAAUAAAAAUUAGACAAAACGUUUACAAAAAACAAAGUAAAUCAGUACCGGAUUAGUCACUUGAUUGUAAACCCAUUAAACAGACACUGAUUUAUCGUUGUUUUUGUCAGCAUUUUAUCAGCUCUCCGUUUCUUUAGCUUUUUCCAUAAAAAUCAUUUUGUUUCCAGAACUUCAAAAUUUCCUUUAUGAACCAUGUAUAUAUGGAAAGAACAUCUUGCUUUAAUUUGCAUAUAUGCAGUUGAUGAAUCAUGGAGUGAGCAGUUCAUUGGUGGAGAAAGUGAAAGCAGAGAUUCAAGAAUUCUUUAAUCUUCCAAUUGAUGAGAAAAAGAAGUUUUGGCAGCAGCCAGGAGAUAUUGAGGGAUUUGGGCAGCUUUUUAUUACGUCUGAAGAGCAGAAGCUUGAUUGGGGAUACGGCUUUACUAUGUUCACUCUCCCAACCCAUCUGAGGAAACCCCACUUGUUCCCCAAGUUGCCUCUUCCAUUCAGGUUCUAUACUUAAAUUUUAGACUUUUCUUAUAUAGAAUAUUCUAUCUUAUGAUAAUUACUGGACUAUAUAUUAAGUACCGGAUUAGUCACUUGAUUGUAAACCCAUUAAACAGACACUGAUUUAUCGUUGUUUUUGUCAGCAUUUUAUCAGCUCUCCGUUUCUUUAGCUUUUUCCAUAAAAAUCAUUUUGUUUCCAGAACUUCAAAAUUUCCUUUAUGAACCAUGUAUAUAUGGAAAGAACAUCUUGCUUUAAUUUGCAUAUAUGCAGUUGAUGAAUCAUGGAGUGAGCAGUUCAUUGGUGGAGAAAGUGAAAGCAGAGAUUCAAGAAUUCUUUAAUCUUCCAAUUGAUGAGAAAAAGAAGUUUUGGCAGCAGCCAGGAGAUAUUGAGGGAUUUGGGCAGCUUUUUAUUACGUCUGAAGAGCAGAAGCUUGAUUGGGGAUACGGCUUUACUAUGUUCACUCUCCCAACCCAUCUGAGGAAACCCCACUUGUUCCCCAAGUUGCCUCUUCCAUUCAGGUUCUAUACUUAAAUUUUAGACUUUUCUUAUAUAGAAUAUUCUAUCUUAUGAUAAUUACUGGACUAUAUAUUAUUAUUUGCAUGCAGAGAUGACUUGGAAGUUUACUUAACGGAACUUAAAAAUCUUACCUUGAAAAUCCUUGACCUAAUGGCUAAAGCUCUAAGAAUGGAUCCCAAUGACAUGAAAGAGCUGUUUGAAAACGGGAUGCAAUCAUUAAGGAUGAAUUAUUAUCCUCCUUGUCCGCAACCAGAGCAAGUUCUCGGCUUUAAGCCUCAUUCUGAUGGCUCCGUACUCACCAUCCUCCUCCAAAUCAAUGAGAUGGAUGGUCUCCAAAUUAAGAAAGAUGGAAAAUGGUUUGCUGUUAAGCCCCUUCCUGAUGCCUUUAUAGUCAACGUUGGUGACGUUUUAGAGGUAACACUUGUCUUUCUCUACAGCCUAUGAUAAGUAACGCUAUGUCUCUACAUAGUUUGUAUCUCUAGUAAGAGCAGUGCUAGGUGAAGAAGGAGAGAAAGAUGAGAGAAUUUUGUCCUCUCUCUCUACCCACUCACUCUCUCUCUACCAUUUUCUUCUUUAUUUCUCUCGUCUUUCUCUCGUGCUUCUCUUCACCAAGUAUUUUCCCUCUAAUAAUGUUACGUGACAUCUGACGUGUCUUUUAUUAGUAAGUAGAGUAGAAUUAUUGUAUAAUUUGUAUUAAUAAUAGAAAACUGGUCUCCAAAUUAAGAAAGAUGGAAAAUGGUUUGCUGUUAAACCCCUUCCUGAUGCCUUAAUAGUCAACGUUGGUGACGUUUUAGAGGUUAACACUUGUCUUUCUCUACGGCCUAUGAUAAGUAAGGCUAUGUCUCUCCGUAGUUUGUAUCUCUAGUAAGAGCAGUGGUAGGUGUAGAGAAGCACGAGAGAAAGAAGAGAGAAUUUUGUCCUCUCUCUCUCUACCCACUCACUUUCUCUCUACCAUUUUAUUCUUUAUUUCUCUCGUUUUUCUCUCGUGUUUUUCUUCACCAAGCAUUUUUCCCUCUAAUAAUGUUACGUGACAUCUGACGUGUCUUUUAUUAGUAAGUAGAGUAGAAUUAUUGUAUAAUUUGUAUUAAUAAUAGAAAAUAAAGUCAACUAAAUGCGAAUCUAGAAAUAAUUGGUGACGCGUCGCUUGCAAUAAAAACUAAGUUAAUUGUUAGCAUAGGAUAUAUAGUUGAUGACUAGUUUCAUCUAAUUUCUUCCUCUUCUUGAUUAUACUCGUUAAUUUUUUUUUUUUUUUGGUUCAAUUUAUGAUCCUGCAGAUUUUUAGCAAUGGAACUUAUCGUAAUAUUGAACAUCGUGCACUGUAAACUCAAUGAAGGAAAGGUUAUCUUUUGGUACAUUUUACAGUCCAAAAUCAGAUGGAGAAUUGGGUCCAGCACUGAGUCUUAUUACUCCAAAGACUCCAGCAUUAUUUAAGAGGAUAAGUGUGGUAGAUCACUUGAAAAGAUUCUUUUCAAGCGAGCUGCGUGGAAAGUCAUUUAUUGAUUUCUUGAGGAUUCAAAAUUAGGCGGUUAAAAGUUGUUGAUUGUUUUGAAUUACAUGAUAAGAUUAUAUGGAGUCCAUACCAAUAAAAUGAGUGAAUUAAUUAUUAAGUUGUGAACUUUUAAUUUUAUUACACACACAUAUAUGUUUACCUUAAAUUUUAUUGAAUAUUGAUAAAUUAAAAAAUAAAGUCGUGAAACACAUACUCAGUGAUGAUCUUGCAGGAAUGAUAUUUGCAGUAUUAGAGAAUUAUUGAUGGAAUAGAAAAACAAAAGAAGAAGAAUUGGGGUAGAAAGCGUGCAUGAAGAAAUAAAUGAAUAAAAAUAAUAGUGAUCUUGAAUUUUUUAUUUUAUUUUUUAAUUAAUUAAGAAUAAUUUUGAUUUUAUGUAAGAAUAUAUUUAAAAUUGUAUUAAGUAUAACAUUUGUUCUCAAAAUUAGAUUUACCAAUACUUUUAAAAAAAUUACCAAACAAAACUUAAAUUUUGAUAUUUUAAAAUUAUUUUUAAGUCAAAAUAGUAAUCCCAAAUGAGUGCUUAUUCAAUUACUUGGAUAAAACAAAAAUGAAUUUAAAUUUAAAGGACUUAAAUUAAUAAUGCAUUUUGAAAAGCCAUGGUCCUCUUCUAAAUUUCGUGAUUUCUACCAACGAUGCGGACCGAUCAACAAUAAAAUAUCCCAAUAGUUUCGUAAGUUUUAUGAUUGGGCACGUGAACUUGAUAGGCGCAAUUGUCUAUUUUUUUUCAUUGUUUUAUAUUUGUCUAUAUCUAAUUUGCUGUUUUACGACGUAACACUCGUGGAGGAAAAAACCCAAACAAAAUCGAGUACACAAGUUUGUGUGGUCAGCCUGGUUUUAUAUUUCAAAAUGCCAAUCUAGUGGGAUUAGUACCAAUCUAAAGCUAAACCACACAAUGUGACACUACAUGGAUAAGACUAGUAUUCCACUGUGAAAUCUAUAAUGGCAUUAGGAUUUGAUACAAGUGAUAGUAGGAUUAUUUUGGGUAAGACUCAUUUUCUUAGUAAAGAAUUAAAUUGGGUGAGAUGUAAGAUAUAAAUGGAGGAUUAUUUUGGUAUUUAAAAGAAUGUGCUCAGUAAAAUUAAUUUUUAAAAUUUAUUAAAUGAGAAUGAGAGUACAGAAUAAAGUGGUACUCAAAGUAAAAUUUAGAUUGCAAAUAGCCCAACAUUAAGUUGGCGAUCUUUUUUUUUUCUUUUAUCUUAAAUCUGAAAUAGGUAUGAAUGUUGCUAAAGUUUGAAAGGGUCUGAAUGCCUAUGUCAAAAUAAUAUAUUUGUUUUUUUAUUUUUUGACAUCUAGGUGUAAGUGGUAAGUUGUUUGUACUUAUUAAACUCAAAACAUUUUAAAUCUAAUAUUUUUACACUGAUGACCUUGAAAGUGUUAUAUAUACUUGAAGCUUAAACAGAUAUAUAUUUAUGGUGUUUUCUAGUACAAUAGUUUUUAUAUGUUAUAAAUAUUUACAAGGGAAGUAACUCAUAUAUAAUUUAUGAAAAAUAAUUUUGAUAACAUUAAUUUUUACAAUUUAACAUAAUAUUUAUACAUAAAAAAGCUGUUAUCUAAUUAUAUAAAAAAAACUAAAUUCAAAAUGAAUUUAUGUUAAGUACUUAAUACGAAGUAAAAUUUGAUAUCAAGAAAAUUUGUGAUAUGACAUCUAAUAGGUAAGUAGAAAAUAAAUACAUCUAAUGAGGGUAUUUGGGAGAAAAAAAGUUGAGUUUCCAUUCAAACAUUUUAUUAAUUCAGAUAAAACUGAAAUUUUACUUUUUUUUAUUCAAAUAAAAAUGUCUAAUAAUAAAACUUUCAGAUACAAAGGCAAACAAGCCAAAAUAUCAAAACAUCUUAAAUUAAGCCCAAUUAAGACUUUAGAUAUAAAAACAAAUAAACUCUAACAUUAUUUCAAUUGUCUUAAUGUUGAAUGGUGUACCCUUUAAUAAAUGGAAUGGGAUCUUCUUUUGAUCUAAACUAGGGCUGGAUAUAAAUCGAGUUUGGAUCAACCCGAUCUAAUUUUUGGAUUGAAUCGAAUUAAACCAAUUUGAAUAUAUUCAAAUCGAAUCAAAUAAAAAAUUCGGGUAAAAAAUUUAGGUCAAUUGGAUGAUUAAUCGAAUUUUACCUAAUAUAUCAUAUCAAAUUUUGCCGAUCAAAGAAAAGAAUUGUUGGAAAAAAAUUAAACUCAAACCCAGUCCAAAUAUUUAUGGUACAACAAGAAGAAAUUAAUACAAUAUCUUAGGGAUAAAUUAAAUCUUUUAGGUUUCUUACAAGGCAAACCAUUUAGCGGUGGAGAGCUGCAGAUCGGAGUGCAGCAGCAAUCGUGGUGGCGAAUGGAUCAACCAGCAGCAGCAGUCGUGGUACAUGACAGCAGAAUGCGUAGGCAAGUUACGGAUCGCAUUAGGGCUGCUUUGCUCUGCCAUGACUGCCGUCUGCCAUGCUAUGUUUGGUGAGUGCCGCCGGCUGCCACUGCGUAUGUGACUAUGUGUGGUGUGCUGCCCCUAUGUUGUGUUGUGUGUGUGAAGUGCCAUUGUGCUCUGUGUGUGAAAAGGAUACCACGAUGUUCGCUUGUUUGUACUUUGUGCUUGUAAAUUGAAAUGAUCAAUUAGGUUAGCUCAUUUUUUCUUUUUUUGGUAAGGGACCAACCCGAUUGGAUUUUCAGAGCGGAUUGGGUUUAAUCCAAUCCGAUCACGAUCUAAUCGGGUUUGUUUCUACCAACGAUUGGAUUAGGUUAAUAAUUCAAUCCAAACUGAACCCGAUGUUUUUUGGAUUAGUUGGGUCGAAUCGGAUUAUUUAUCUAGCCCUAAUCUAAACUCUACUGAAGUUUUAAAGAUUUCCAGUCAUAUAUCAUUUAGUGAUAAUGUAAGAAUAAAAUUUAACUUCUUUAUUUUUUUAAUUCAUUAUCUACUAAUCAACACCUAAAUUAUUUGCUCUACAAGUGAUCAUAUCAAGACAGAAGUCAGGAUCUUCUUGAAUUUUUAUAACAAAAUUAUUAUUUUAUUACACCUAAGUGGAUCACAGUACAUCCAAAGGACUAUUUAUAUAUGAGUUUCUUGUUAAAACACAACCCAACUAAGUCUGGAGGGGAGAGGGAGAAAAAAAAGAAAGAAAUAGCUAGAAACCAGAUAAUCCAAAUCUAUAUAAUAUGGAGGCAGAAUCGACAGCUAUUGGGAGUUCUCUCGUGGAGCCUUCGAUUCUGGAGCUGGCAAAUAAUAAGCCACUGAUCACAGUUCCUCCACGUUAUGUUCGCCCUGAGAUAGACCAUCCCCUGAUUCGCAACGACGAUUCUUCAGCACAACAAUUUCCAGUCAUUGACAUGCACAAGUUGCUCUCUGGAGAUGACUCAGAGCUUGAGAAGCUUGACCGUGCAUGCAAAGAGUGGGGUUUCUUUCAGGUAAAUAAUAAUUUAGCAGUGAAAUUCAGAUAAUCAUAAUUAGACAAAACGUUGACAAAAAAGAAAGUAAAUCAGUACCGGAUUAGUCACUUGAUUGUAAACACUGUAAACAGACGCUAACUUAUCAUUGUUUUUGUUAGCAUUUUAUCAGCUCUCCGUUUCUUUAGCUUUUUCCAUAAAAAUCAUUUUGUUUCCUGAACUUCAAAAUUUCCUUUAUGAACCAUGUGUAUAUGGAAAGGACAUUUUCCUUUAAUUUGCAUAUAUGCAGUUGAUGAAUCAUGGAAUGAGCAGUUCAUUGGUGGAGAAAGUGAGAGUAGAGAUUCAAGACUUCUUUAAUCUUCCAAUUGAUGAGAAAACGAAGUUUUGGCAACAACCAGGAGAUAUUGAGGGAUUUGGGCAGCUCUUUAUUGCGUCUGAAGAGCAGAAACUUGAUUGGGCAUAUGGCUUUACUUUGAUCUCUUUCCCAACUCAUCUGAGGAAAUCCCACUUGUUCCCCAAGUUGCCUCUUCCAUUCAGGUUCUAUAGUUGAAGCGUAUCGUUUUGCUAUAUGGUAUAUUCUAUCUUAUGAUAAUUACUGGACUAUAUAUCGUUAUUUGCAUGCAGAGAUGACUUGGAAGUUUACUCGACAGAACUUAAAAAUCUUGCCCUGAAAAUCCUUGACCAAAUGGCCAAAGCUCUACGAAUGGAUCCCAAUGAUAUGAAAGAGUUGUUUGGAAACGGAAGGCAGUCAUUAAGGAUGAAUUAUUAUCCUCCUUGUCCGAAACCAGAGCAAGUUCUUGGCUUUAAGCCUCAUUCUGAUGGCGCCGCACUCACCAUCCUCCUCCAAAUCAAUGAGAUGGAUGGUCUCCAAAUUAAGAAAGAUGGAAAAUGGGUUGCAGUUAAACCCCUUCCUGAUGCCUUUAUAGUCAAUAUUGGUGACGCUUUAGAGGUAACACUUGUCAUUUUCUAUAGCGUAUGAUGACUAAUGCUAUAUUCUACGCAGUUUGUAUCUCUAGUAAUGUUUUGUGACAUCUGACCUUCAUUGUAAGUGGAGUAGAAUUAUUAUAUAAUUUGUGUUAAUGAUAUAAUGAUAGAAAAUAAAGUCAUCUAACACCGAAUUCAUAAGAAAAAAAAAAGGGUUGGGAACACCUUGCUUGCGAUAAAAAUGAUGUUGUUAGGAUGGGAUAUGUAGAUGAUAACUGGUUUCAUAUAUUUAUGUUAUUUUUUAAUUUAUUUACUUUAUGUGUUUAUAGAUUUUUACCAAUGGAACUUAUCGUAGUAUCGAGCAUCGUGUGACUGUAAACUCAGUGAAGGAAAGGUUAUCUUUUGCUACAUUUUACAGUCCGAAAUUAGAUGGAGAAUUGGGUCCAGCACCAAGUCUUAUUACUUCGAAGACUCCAGCGUUGUUUAAAAAAAUAAGUGUGGUAGAUUACUGGAAAAGAUUUUAUUCAAGUGAGCUGCGUGGGAAGUCUUUUAUUGAUUUCUUGAGAAUGCAAGACCAGGGCACUUAAAAGUUAUUGAUUGCUUCCAGUUAUACGACGAGAUUACAUGGAGUCCAUUCUGAUAAAAUAAGUCAAUUAAGUUGUGAACUUAUUCUGUUGGAUUGUGUUUAGACUUGCUGGGCUGUGUAUACUUCAAUGGAUAAACUUAAAUAAGUUUACGGAGUUGUGUAACUUGUAUUUGUAUGUGAAUUAUAACUUGUAGAAAAGUUAAAAUAAAAUUACAUAAUAAAUUUUGUGUAGAUUCUAUGUUUCUUUGUCGAUUUAUAUAUAUCUGCAGUUUCAAUUGUUGUCCUAGGACCUGAUUUGAACCUACAAUUGAGAUUGGCGUAUGAUGACUUGAAGUGAUUAUUUUCAACAAAUGUGACUUCUUUCUAUUGGACCAGCAAAUUAAUGUGUUUGCCUGGAAAGUUUGGAAGAUGACAAUUUUCAAUUUUGCUUUUGAAAAGAUGAUGUUUAUGAUGGUCCCUUUAAAAUCAUAUUAAUUGUCAAACACGUGGUGCUCUUUCAUGGAAAAAAACUUAUAAUAUUUUUCUUCCACUCAUCGUGGUCUAUCUUUUCAUUGACUCUAUAUGGAAAAAUUAUAUCAAACAUCCAACAUUGUUUAAAAAAUAGUAAAAAUAAAUUGAUGAAGAAAUAUGAGACAAAAGUUAAAAGUUACAAAAAGAUUGUUAGUUUUUUUUUUUUUUUUAAUAAGAUAACAUAGUGCUUUUUCAUACAGAAAACUUUGUAUGUCUCCCUUUUAUAGAGAAACAUUUUACGGAUAUCUUUUUAAGUUAAAUUAGUCAUUCAUGUAUCUCAUAAUUUAAUUCAACUUGAAUAAUUACAAUCACAUACAGAUUUAGUUUAUUCAACUCUAAAUUGUAAUUAAAUAUAACAUAUGACUAAUUUCAAAUCAAAUGCAAAGAAAAUUGAUCCUGCUUUCCUUUAAUGUGAGACAUUAGUAUUUUAAAGUAUCAAUAAAAAAUAAGAGAUCCCUUAUAUAAUGAUAUAAGUUACAUCGAUCAUAGAAUUGCACUAGACAAUCACAAAGUACUUAGAUCAUUAAGGGAUCAAGAUCCAACAAAAUUCCAAAAAACAAGUCAGGCCACGUGCAAACCUAAUGUAUCUAUCCUUUAUGCUGAAUAAUCUUUGCUCAAGCAGUGUGGUCAGACAUCCACAUUUGAAAAAUGCUUAAGCGUGCAUUGACUUUACAUCUUAUAUCAACAAAAAUUGAAAAAAAUAAUACAUGUAAUUGGCUUUCCAACACAUGAUUUUUUUUAAAUAUUAUUAUUAAAGAGUAAAAUAUAAAUAUUGAUAAAUGUUGAAGAUAUUAUUAUACAUUAGUUGAGAAUAUUUAUUAGGUUAAUAUUAUAAGAUCUCAAAUCUUUUGAAUUAGUUUUUGUGUAUAAAUUAGAAAAUUUGGUUUUUAUAUGAUAUUAGUGUCAAAAUCAUACAUGAGCAGUCUCACACUACCAUUCCAUUUCACAACGACCAUACAAGAAGAACAGUAUGAACAUGACAAGAGGUUUUGAGGAAAUUAUCCAACGUUUGGCCAGUGGCUAAGAAAAAUUACAAGGCUAUAUAAAAAUUUUAAGAUAAUACUCAACUCUUUAAAUAGUUUUUGAGUAUGACUUAGACUAUGGGCUCUUAUAAUAAAUAAAACCUAACGUACUACAGAGACCUAACUCGACAUAUCAGAUUAGGGCUGGGCAUAUCUGGUACAAUUCGGUUCAGUCGAAGAACUGAACCAAACUGAAAUCAAUCGAUUCUUUAAAGCUGGAACCGAAUACGAACCAACUUUUGAACCGUACCAAAGAUGAUUCGAUCGGUUCGAUUUUGUGAUCAGUUCGGUUCACAAACGGGUGGAUCGGUUCAAAAUGGAUGAGGAAGCCCUUUGCUGGUGAUUAGAUUCAUUCAACAAUUUAUUUAUAAAACACCCAACAAAUUAAACUCCAAUUUAUGAAUCCGAACUCACAAAAUUAAGGAAAACAAGUGUUUUGAAAUUCAGGUGUGAAAUGGAUUAUUGAGCAUGGCAGCUGCUACAAGCACACUUAAAAUUGAUUCAAUUGAAAACAACAGCCUCCUCGUGAACUUCAUGAAAAUUUAUUUGGAUGUUUCAAAUAAUUUGUAAUUAUAAAACUGACCUUUUCAUUUGCUUCCAAAUCUUUCCAUCAAAAUCAACGAAUAAAUAAAAAAUGUAAACACAAGUUACACAAGUCCACCGACACGACAGCAGCGGCGGGCUACCGACGACACGACCACAACGAACGGGAGGCGACGCUGACACGAGCACGACCGGAUGAACUACGACAGGCUGACACGAGCGCGAUGGCGACGACUACGGUGACAGGCUGGCUAAUAAGCGACAGUGGUGGAUGGAAUGUGUGUAUCAGCGAGAGUGAGACAGAUGGUGAGGGUGUAUGUGUGUGUCGGCUAGUGUGUGAGAGAGAGAUGGUGGGUGUGUGCAUGAUUUUAAUGUUUAUAAUUAUUUUAUUUAUUUAUAAAACCGAAAUUAAAUCUAAUUAACAUAAAUUUUGGUUCGGCUCGGUUUGGAAAACCGAAUCGAACCCACCCCAAUCAGAAUUAAAAUCCAUCCCAAAAAAAAAUAAAUUAAUAAACUCUUCUUCACUCUAGGGGUGUUCAAAAUCUAAUCUGAUUUGCUUAAUUUGAUCUACAAAAAAUUUGAUCUACAAAAAAUUUGUUCUAUAAAAAUCCGAUCUGUGGAUUAGUGGAUUGAAUUAGAUUAAAAAUUUAAAAAUCCGCAGUCAAUAAAUUAGAUAUAGAUUUACUUCUAUAAAUUCAUAAAAAUCUGUAAAUUUGCAAAAACAAAAAUUAUUUAAUUAAAAUAUUAAACUUGUAAAUGUGGCAUUACUACUUACUAAUAACAAAAUAAGUUAAAAAUGUAGUUACGUUAAUAGCAUAUUAUAUCUUAUUCAUGAUAAUAUAAAAUAAAAAAUAAUUAAAUAAGUAAAAAUAGCUUCUUAAACAGUUAAUUUUCAUAAUUUUAGUUAAUUUUUAUGUAUUGAUUUAAAAAAAUGAGAUUGUUUCUUCUUGUUGUUUUAUAUUUGAAACUUUGAAUGUAUUUUUCUAGUUUUAUUUAAAUGAUUAAUUUAUUUAAAUCUUAUUAAAUUUUAAAUUUGACAAAAUUAAAAAUUCUUAACUUACAAACUAACCCAUGGCCAUAAAAUUGUGGAUUGGAUAUGAAUUAGGUCAAAUACACAUCCGAUUCACAUGGAUUGAAUUUGAAUUGAAUUUCAAUAAUUCGUAGAUUGAAUUGGAUUAAAAAUUUAUAAUAUAAAAAAUUGUUAAUUGGAUAUGGAUUGAUAUCCAAUCCAUAACAUCUAAUCUGUGAAUACCCCUACUUCACUACCGUCAAGGAAUUGUUGCUUUUCCAAGUCGAAAGUAUUUAGUUGUCCAUUUGAUCAAUUAAUGUAUUAAGUAUCUUAUAUUUAAAGCAAUAUUUUUCAAAUGACCGCAAUUAAAAAAGUUAUUCUCUACUUCAAUAAUUGAAAACUUUGUAUAGUCUUGUUUAAUCACACGAGUUUGGAGAGAAAAGAGAGGUAAUUAAUCAAAAACUAUGUAAAGCAACAACGAUAGCAAGUUCUCUUCUGGAGCCUUCGAUUCAGGAGCUGGCAAUGAAGCCAAUGACGACUAAAGUUCCACCACGAUAUGUUCGCCCUGAUAUAAAAGAUGUAAUGAUCUGCAACAACAACAAUUCUUCAACAGAACAACUUCCAGUCAUUGUCAAAGUCAUGGUUGGGCGGUUUGGCACCAUUAACAUUUUUCAAAAUGGCCACCCAAAUUGAAGUCCAAGUAGAUGCCGCUCAAGGAAAGGAAAAAAAAAGGGAAAUUUUGACAAAGAAGAAAGACGAAUGAAGAAAAUGCUGCAAAUGGUGGUUGGCACACCAAAAUGGAAGAAAAGAAAAAAAAAUUAUUAUUUUAAUAGCCAAUUUUGGCUAUAAAUGGGGGGGUUCCCCAUCGGCUUAGAGCAUCCAAAUUUUUCAUUUUAUUUCUUAUUCUUUAGAGAGAAAGUGAGAGUAUUUUAAGAGUUUUAACAAACUCUUGAGUGAUUUGUGAUUUGAGAGUUUUGGGUGUAUUGGGGUUUUGGGUAGUGAGACAAAAUACCACAAUACUUGUAACUCAUUUUCACUAGUAAAAUAUUUUCCUUCUGUUUUUGCAUGUGGACGUAAGUUAAAAGCCGAAUCACGUAAUUUCUGGGGUCCUCUACUGUGCUUGUUCUUUAUUUUCUUCUAAUUUUAUUUUAGUUGUGUGUCUGCUUCACCCACCAAUUUUCUUAUAGUGGUAUCAGAGCUAUUGGUUGUAUUUUUUGGAGUUGGGUAUUGUUCACGUAUACGACACUGUUCACGUAUACGACACUGUUCACGUAUAUGAUACUAUUCACGUAUACGAUACUAUUCACGUAUACGACACUGUUCACGUAUACGACACUGUUCAUGGGAAACGGUGGGAGUAAUCCAAGAAUUUUUGCGGUGCAAAGUAGGGAAUAGUAGUGUGAGUGGAGUAACUGUGUGGUUUUGAACAUGUCUAGAAAAGUUCUGUCACAAAGGCGAUAAGAGCCUAAGGAGUCUAGGUUUUAAGUGAGACCGUUGUGACCCCCCCAGUCUUUCCUGGGAACUUUCCUGGUGUGCAUAUUCACACAUACUCACAACUAUUCGAGGUGAUACACUGGUUUGUGUACUGUAUUUAUCAACAAAAUGGCGGCAAAGUAUGAAAUUGAGAAGUUUAACGGAAAUAAUUUUUCGUUGUGGAAAAUGAAGAUGAAAGCUGUAUUGAGGAAAAAUAAUUGCUUGGCAGCAAUUGGAGAAGGUCCAUUGAGAUAACUGAUGACAAGUGGAAUGGGAUAGAUGGCAACGCCAUUUCUGAUCUACACUUAGCACUUGCGGACAUAGUAUUAUCCAGUGUGGCAAAGAAAACUACAGCAAAAGAAAUAUGGGAUACUCUCACAAAAUUGUACGAGACCAAAUCACUACACAACAAAAUUUUCUUGAAGAGGAAACUCUAUACUCUUCGAAUGGCAGAAUCUAUAAUGGUGACCGACCACAUCAACACCUUGAAAAUUCUAUUUUCACAACUCACAACGUUGGGUCAUAAUAUAGAGGAAAAUGAACGUGCGAAACUUCUACUUCAAAGUCUACUAGAUUCAUAUGAUUAACUCAUCAUCAACCUGACGAACAACAAUUCAAUGGACAGUCUAAUUUUCGACGAUGUUGCAACCUUCGUAUUAAAUGAGGAAAGUAGGCGAAAAAACAAGGAAGACAUACUGGUGAGUUCGCAGCAGGCAGAAGCGUUAUCAGUGACGAGAGGGAGAUCAACGGAACGUGGCCCCAAUGGGAGUCACAAUCAUGGUAGAUCCAAAUCCAGAAGUAAGAAGAAUGUUAAAUGCUACAACUGUGGUAAGAAAGGACAUGUCAAGAAAGAGUAUUGGAGUAACCAGAAGAGAAAAGAGGGCAAAGAACCUAAGUCAUCAAAUGCUCAGGGGUGUGUAGCAAGUACCUCAGAUGAUGGCGAAAUUCUCUACAACGAGGCAACAACUGUUUCAGAAGGCAGAAAACGAUAAUCUGAUGUCUGGCUUAUAGACUCAAGAGCUACCUGGCACAUGACCUCUUGGAGAAAAUAGUUUCACACAUAUGAACCUAUCUCAGGAGUAUCUGUAUAUAUGGGUAAUGAUCAUGCCUUGGAGAUCGCUGAUAUUGGUACUAUCAAAAUAAAAAUGUUUGAUAGUGCAAUUCGCACAAUUAGGGAGGUACGUCAUGUCAACGGCCUGAAGAAAAAUCUAUUGUCUUUGAGACAAAUGGAUAGUCAUGGGUACAAAACUCAUGUGGAGAAUAAAAUUAUGAAGAUCGUUAAAGGCGCGCUUGUAUUGAUGAAGGCAGAAAAAAUCGGUGCUAAUCUAUUCAUGCUUAAAGGAGAAACAUUACAGGAGGCUGAUGCAUGUGUCGCAUCAAAUGGAGAAGAGUCAACGAUGAUGUGGCAUCUCAAACUUGACCACAUGUCAUAACAAGAUUUGAAGAUUUUCUCUGAGCGAAAAUUGCUUCCAGGACUUAAAUCGGUACGUUUACCAUUUUGCGAGCAUUGUGUUACAAGUAAGCAUCAUAUAUUAAAGUUCAGUAGAUCUAUUGCUAGAAGUAAACGCAUUCUAGACUUGAUUCAUUAUGAUGUUUGGGAAUCGCCGGAUAUGACCAUGAGAGGUGCAAAGUACAUGGUGACUUUCAUUGAUAAUUAUUCUAGGAGAUGUUGGGUGUAUCUAAUUAGGAAAAAGUCAUAUGUAUUUCUAGUGUUUAAAGAAUACAAAGUGCGGAUGGAACUUGAAUCCGGAAAAAAGAUCAAGUGCUUGAGGACGGAUAAUGGUGGAGACUAUACAGCGGUGAGUUUCUUGCUUUCUGUAGGCAAGAAGGUAUUCAGAGGCAGUUCACGGUAGCAUACACUCCUCAACAAAAUGGAGUGGCAGAGCGGAUGAAUAGGAUUCUUACAGAACGAAUACGAGCUAUGUUGAGGACUGCUGGUCUACCCAUCUACAACUAUUGGGCUGAACACAGCGAUGGAGAUGUAGACUGAAAAGCCAGCUGAUUACUCCUACCUACAUGCAUUUGGAUGUCAUGUGUACGUGAUGUACAAUGCCCAAGAAAGAGCAAAGCUGGAUCCAAAAUCUAGGAGGUAUAUCUUCUUAGGAUAUGCUGAUGGAGUAAAGGGUAUCGUCUGUGGGACCUCACUGCCUACAAGAUCGUCAUCAGCAGAGAUGUUAUCUUUGUAGAAGAUCAACUGCAAAGAAAAGAUGAGGAUGAUAGCACUGUAAAAGAAAAGUCAGAGACUGUGCCGGUAUAUGUGGAAAAUCAUCCAGAAGAUUCAGAUUCUUCUGAAGCAGCACUAGAGCACAAGGAACAAGAACCAGUCGAGUCCGAGGCUCUAGAAUUUCAUCGAUCAACUCGUGAGAGACGACCGCCAGUAUGGCACUCGGAGUAUGUCACAUAGAUCAAUGUUGCAUACUGUCUUCUAACAGAGGAUGGAGAGCCAUCAACUUUUCAUGAAACUUUAAGCAACACAGAUGUUGCUUUAUGGAUGACAGUAAUGCAGGAAGAAAUUGAGCCUCUACACAAGAACAAGACAUGGGAACUUAUACCACUACCACAUGGAAGAAAAGUUAUUGAAAAUAAAUGGGUCUACAAGAUCAAGCGUGAUGGCAAUGACCAAGUGGAGCGGUAUCAUACAAGAUUGGUGGUGAAAGAAUAUGCUCAGAAAGAAGGUAUUGACUUCAACGAGAUAUUUUCUCCGGUAGUUCGACUCACAACAGUCAGAAUAGUCUUGGCAAUGUGUGCUACAUUUGACCUAGAUUUAGAGCAGUUAGAUGUGAAAACUGCAUUUCUUCAUGGAGAACUUGAAGAAGAAAUAUAUAUGCUCCAACCAGGAGGUUUUGCAGAAACAGGAAAAGAAAACUUGGUUUGCAGGUUGAACAAAUCUCUAUACGGUCUCAAACAGGCGCCGAGAUGUUGGUAUAAGAGAUUUGAUUCAUUCAUCGUGAGCCUUGGAUACAACAGACUCAGUUAAGACUAUUGUGCAUAUUACAAAAGGUUUGAAGAUAAUGAUUUCAUUAUUUUGCUGUUGUAUAUGGAUGAUAUGUUAGUAGCAGGCUCCAACAAAGAUCGAAUCCAAGAAUUGAAGGCACAGUUGGCUAGGGAGUUUGAAAUGAAGAACUUGGGACCAGCAAACAAGAUUCUAGGGAUGCAAAUUCACCGAGACAGAAAUAACAGGAAGAUUUGGCUUUCUCAAAAGAACUACUUGAAGAAAAUCUUGCGGGGCUUCAACAUGCAAGAUUGUAAGUCAAUUUAUACCCCACUUCCUGUUAAUUUCAAAUUAUCCUCAAGUAUGUGUCCUAGCAAUGAAGCAGAGAGAAAUGAGAUGUCUCGAGUACCAUAUGCAUCAGCAGUGGGAAGUUUAAUGUUCGCUAUGAUUUGUACAAGACCAGACAUUGCACAAGCAGUGGAGCAGUCAGUCGAUACAUGGUGAAUCCUGGUGGAGAGCAUUGGAUAGCUAUGAAGAGGAUUCUGAGAUACAUCAGAGGAACCUCAGAUGUUGCAUUAUAUUAAAGAGGAUCAGAGUUUACUGUAAGGGGCUAUGUGGAUUCAGAUUUUGCAGGAGACCUUGAUAAAAGAAAAUCUACUACUGCCUAUGUGUUUACACUUGUUGAGUGUUAGAAAAUGCAUAUUUAUAAAGGAGAAAACCGUCAUUUUACAUUUCAAGUCUUACUAACAACCCUUACUUUUAUGUAUUUAACCUUCUUGUGAUGUAAUUACGUGUGUGUUAUUUUAAUUAAGUAUUUUAUGUAUUUUAGGGGCAUUAUAGUCAUUUCACAAUAAAGGAGAGAUCAGACGGCAAAACGGACAUCACUUUUGAACUCAGGACGGUCGAAAACCUUAGGAGGAGCAUAAAAGGAAAAAUGACACUAUUCACAUGUACGGUACUAUUCACGUGUACGAUACUGUCUACGUUACUGUUCACGACACUGUUCACAUAGACGGAUCGAUAACGUGGCAUUGACCGAUGAUGUGGCAUUGACUGAUGAGGUGCCACGAUCCUGUUGGACUAAAAUUCUUAUNNNNNNNNNNNNNNNNNNNNNNNNNNNNNNNNNNNNNNNNNNNNNNNNNNNNNNNNNNNNNNNNNNNNNNNNNNNNNNNNNNNNNNNNNNNNNNNNNNNNNNNNNNNNNNNNNNNNNNNNNNNNNNNNNNNNNNNNNNNNNNNNNNNNNNNNNNNNNNNNNNNNNNNNNNNNNNNNNNNNNNNNNNNNNNNNNNNNNNNNNNNNNNNNNNNNNNNNNNNNNNNNNNNNNNNNNNNNNNNNNNNNNNNNNNNNNNNNNNNNNNNNNNNNNNNNNNNNNNNNNNNNNNNNNNNNNNNNNNNNNNNNNNNNNNNNNNNNNNNNNNNNNNNNNNNNNNNNNNNNNNNNNNNNNNNNNNNNNNNNNNNNNNNNNNNNNNNNNNNNNNNNNNNNNNNNNNNNNNNNNNNNNNNNNNNNNNNNNNNNNNNNNNNNNNNNNNNNNNNNNNNNNNNNNNNNNNNNNNNNNNNNNNNNNNNNNNNNNNNNNNNNNNNNNNNNNNNNNNNNNNNNNNNNNNNNNNNNNNNNNNNNNNNNNNNNNNNNNNNNNNNNNNNNNNNNNNNNNNNNNNNNNNNNNNNNNNNNNNNNNNNNNNNNNNNNNNNNNNNNNNNNNNNNNNNNNNNNNNNNNNNNNNNNNNNNNNNNNNNNNNNNNNNNNNNNNNNNNNNNNNNNNNNNNNNNNNNNNNNNNNNNNNNNNNNNNNNNNNNNNNNNNNNNNNNNNNNNNNNNNNNNNNNNNNNNNNNNNNNNNNNNNNNNNNNNNNNNNNNNNNNNNNNNNNNNNNNNNNNNNNNNNNNNNNNNNNNNNNNNNNNNNNNNNNNNNNNNNNNNNNNNNNNNNNNNNNNNNNNNNNNNNNNNNNNNNNNNNNNNNNNNNNNNNNNNNNNNNNNNNNNNNNNNNNNNNNNNNNNNNNNNNNNNNNNNNNNNNNNNNNNNNNNNNNNNNNNNNNNNNNNNNNNNNNNNNNNNNNNNNNNNNNNNNNNNNNNNNNNNNNNNNNNNNNNNNNNNNNNNNNNNNNNNNNNNNNNNNNNNNNNNNNNNNNNNNNNNNNNNNNNNNNNNNNNNNNNNNNNNNNNNNNNNNNNNNNNNNNNNNNNNNNNNNNNNNNNNNNNNNNNNNNNNNNNNNNNNNNNNNNNNNNNNNNNNNNNNNNNNNNNNNNNNNNNNNNNNNNNNNNNNNNNNGUCCUAAUAAAAGUCCUUGAUUUUAGGGAACUAUAGUCUGAAGUAGAAGCUAGUUAUAUGGGCUAAAAAAAUAUAGUGAUGCAUGAAAGAAAAAAAAAAUUGGUUUGACUAGCAUUUUUAUUUGACUUGAGAUCGUAUUAUUUCUAAGCUGAGGGCAUAUUUCUUUCAUCUUGGUGAGAGCAUGUGAUAUCACUUCUUUAUUAUUUUCUCUCAAUUACCAUUCAUUGGAGUGACUAUUUUUAUUAUAUUUAAUUUCUUUGUAAGAGUGUCACUACUUCCAGUGAGAUUUUGGGGUUUGACAUGUCAUUCUUGAAGGUAGCUAUGACAAAGUCUACUGGGCUGAUUCAUGUGGAUGAUUGAUGUGGGUGUGAUGUUUCUUUAGACUUGAGAUAAUGCUUAUACUUUUAUUUUAUUGUUAUCAUUAGUAUGAUUGAAUAAACAAGAGUGUUUUAAACUGCUGUACCGUACAUCCGCCUUGGCCGUACAGCAGAGCUUGGGUUGAAGGUGAAGUCUCAACAUGUGUCAUGGGCUUAAUUUGGUAAAUUUAUUUUCUCUUCCCCUCUAGUUUUUGUGGAUGUUUUGACUUCUCGUCGACAAAUAAUACUAAUCUUGUCUAGUACCGCCUUGGUUACACCGGCUCUCUAGUAUAAGGUUAUUAUUAUUUGGCACGAUAAGCCCUUAGCACCAUAUUGAUUAGAGCGUGGUUCAUGAGGUGUGGAUUCCCCCCUCAUGAUUUAAUUGGUAUUAAUAAGGCAUAUUUAGCCCAUGAUGCAUGUUGAUACGGAUCCAGAUACCCAAGUACACCAUUUCAAUAGAAUUCUCUUCAAUUUAUUCUCGCCAUUUCAAUUCCAAUUUUAGAAUUUAUUCUCGCCAUUUUAAUUUAAGUUUUAGCAUAUUCCAAAUCAUUUCCACCACAAAUUCAAUCCCCCAUUUACAAAAUUAAUUCUAUACACAAUUAAAAUCUAUCUCCUCGUGGGAUCGACACUCGUCACCAUUGAUCUAUACUACAAUAGAUUCGUGCACUUGCGAGUACAUUAAAAUUUGCACAACAACACUUACGGGAGGAGCUGUAAGCUGGGUUUCAAAACUGCAAACCGUUAAGGAAUUAUCUACAACAGAAGCAGAGUACAUGGCGGCUACACAAGCUUGCAAGGAAGCUAUCUGGAUACAAAGGUUAUUGGAGGAACUCGGGCACAAACAAGAGAAAAUUUCUGUGCUUUGUGAUAGUCAGAGUGUCUUGCACAUUGCAAGGAAUCUAGCCUUUCAUUCCAGGACAAAACACAUAGGAGUUCAGUAUCACUUCGUUCGAGAAGUAGUGGAAGACGGAAGUGUGGAUUUACAAAAAAUCCAUAUGAAGGAGAAUCUAGCAGAUGUUUUGACCAAGCCAAUAAAUACUGAUAAGUUUGUCUGGAUUAGAUCCUCUUGUGGCCUAGCAGAAACGUAGGUAACAUGAUUAUGGCGAAGUAGAAAGAAUAGUGUAGAGAUUGAUUGAUUCUCAAUUUAAUCUCCAAGUGGGAGAAUGUCAAAGUCAUGGUUGGGCGGUUUGGCACCAUUAACAUUUUUCAAAAUGACCACCCAAAUUGAAGUCCAAGUAGAUGCCGCCCAAGGAAAGGAAAAAAAAGGGAAAUUUUGACAAAGAAGAAAGAAGAAUGAAGAAAAUGCUGCAAAUGGUGGUUGGCACACCAAAAUGGAAGAAAAGAAAAAAAAAUUAUUAUUUUAAUAGCCAAUUUUGGCUAUAAAAGGGGGAGCUCCCCAUCGGCUUAGAGCAUCCAAAUUUUCCAUUUUAUUUCUUCUUCUUUAGAGAGAAAGUGAGAGUAUUUUAAGAGUUUUAACAAACUCUUGAGUGAUUUGUGAUUUGAGAGUUUUGGGUGUAUUGGGGUUUUGGGUAGUGAGACAAAAUACCACAAUACUUGUAACUCUUUUUUACUAGUAAAAUAUUUUCCUUCUAUUUUCGCCAGUGGACAUAGGCUAAAAACCGAACCACGUAAUUUCUGGUGUCCUCUAUUGUGCUUGUUCUUUAGUUUCUUCCAAUUUUAUUUUAGUUGCGUGUCAGCUUCACCCACUAAUUUCCUAAUAGUCAUCGACCUGCAGAAAUUGCUCUCUAGAGAUGAUUCAGAGCUUGAGAAGCUUGACCUUGCAUGCAAAGAAUAGGGUUUCUUUCAUGUAUACGUACUCUUCUUUGUUAAUUAUUGUCAUUUUCCAUAAUUUUAGCAAAUUAUCCAAGUAGUGCUUGUAUUUUCCCCAACACAAAAAAAAAAAAAAAAAAAAUCAUCUAAAACGUCCUCUAUUGUAUUUUUGUUGAUUCAUUGAUAUCAAUUUAAUUAUCAUUUUUUUUCACCUCCUAAAUGUUGAAUUAAUUUGAAUUUUAAUUAUUUGAAAUUAUGUAAAUAUUAUUUUAUCCUUAAAAAAUCGGAUCCAAUCGCUACAAAAAUAUGUUUUAAGUAAUCUUUUUGAAAAAAUAAUGAAAUAUGUAUCGAAAAUAAUACAAAAAUUAGUAUAAAAACUACAAAAGAUUAAAAAAAAAUUUCUUGUCUUGUAAUAAUUUUUUUCAUCCUAUAGUUUUUUUUUUUUUUUUUGGUUUUCUAGUAUGACGUACCAUUUUUAUACUAUUUUUUGUGAACAUAUUAUUGUUGUUUUGAAAGGAAAUCGACUGACUAGAUGAUUAGCUCAAAUUAUGGGAAUUAAAUGAGUAUUUCUUCAUGUUUUUCUGACUUCAAAUUAAUUUCUGUGGAACAUAUAUGACAACAACAUCGUGCUUUGAAUAAUUUGCAUGUAGCUGGUGAAUCAUGGAGUGAGCAGUUCACUGGUGGAGAAAAUGAAAGCUAAGACCCAAGACUUCUUUGAUCUUCCAAUUGAGGAAAAGAACAAGUACUGGCAUCGACCUGGUGAUAUUGAGGGAUUUGGGCAGCUCUUCAUUGCUUCUGAGGAGCAGAAACUUGAUUGGGGAUACGGCUUUACCAUAUUCACUCUCCCAAUUCAUUCGAGAAGACCCCACCUGUUCCCCAAAUUGCCUCUCCCAUUCAGGUUUUCUCUGCCUCUCAAUUUUUCUUUUUUCAUUUUUAGCCACACAACACACCAAUUAUUGAUGCAACGUUUCGUCCAUCUAACAAUACUACAAUAGUGCUGCAUUGCUAGAGAUACCUUGGAAGUUUACUUAACGGAAGUGAAAAAUCUUACCCUGAAAAUGCUUGACCAAAUGGAAAAAGCUCUAAGAAUGGAUCCCAAUGAGAUGAAAGAGUUGUUUGAAAUGGUGUGCAAUCAAUAAGGAUGAAUUAUGACCCUCCUUGUCAACAACCAGAGCAAGUUAUUGGCUUGAAUUCUCAUUCUGAUGCCUCUGCACUCACCAUCCUCCUCCAAAUCAAUGAGAUGGAUGGCCUCCAAAUAAAGAAAGAUGGAAAUUGGGUUCUCGUUAAACUCCUCCCUGAUGCUUUUAUCAUAAACGUUGGUGACGUUUUGGAUGUAGCACUCAUCACUUUCUACUGCCUUUGUUUUCUACUUUAACUUAGUGUUUUCUUAAUUCCCUUCAGAGCACUUAUAUUAAAUGAUGACCAAAUUAACUAUAAAACUGUGCAGGAUUACUUUGUUAAUUAAAUCUGUGAUUCUUCUGUGAACGUUCAGUUUGUUUAACAUUUUUCUUAUAUAAGAUUUUCUCAUGAUCUUAUCUAUGUCCUAUAUAAGAUGGGAUGCUAAGGAACUUGAGGAUAUGUAUGUCCUAUAUAAGAUUUUCUCAUGAUCUAAUCUUGUACUAAGCAAAAAUUUGUUCAUGUUCCACCCAUAACUAUCAUAACCUCUGUUAGGGAAGUGCAGGUUUAGCAAUUAUCCACAUUACGGUGAUUGCAACUUUUAUAUAAAUAUAAAUGUGGUAAUAAACAAAUAAAAAGAAAAAUUUGAACACAAUAAUUUACUUGUUUUGACGUAAAGCCUACGUCCAAGAGCAAAGACUAGAAGAUAAUUUCAUGAGCUAAUAAAUGCGAAUUAACAAAAUUAGAAAAAAAAAAUCUCAAAACUCAAAAUCCCAAUACACCCAAUUAGAUCUUGACUAGAACACGUAGGUUGAAACUCUUUCAAAUCUCUCAAAUUACUUUACUUGCAAUUGCUCUCAAAAUGUGAAUGCCUUCAAAUGACCAAAUGGCUUGGUAUUUAUCGCUAAAGACCAUUUUGACAAACAUUUGUUCAUUUGAAGGCAUCCACAUUUUGAGAUAAACUACAAGUGAAGCAAUAUUAGACAUUUGAGAGAGUUUAUACUUGAAUGUUCAAGUGAGGAUCCAAUUCGGUGUAUUAGGUUUUUGGUUUUGAGAGUUUUUUCUUCAUAUAAAGUAUGUUUUCAUGGCUUUUCUUUAUAUAUUUUUCUUCCAAUGUUUUCCCACAAUUUCUUUACUGAUGUCUCACUCAUGACAAAGUAUUUAUGAUCUUUAACUAGACAUAAGUGAAUAGUACCACAUACCUAUCUAUUGAUUUUUGUCCACUAUCUAUUGAUUUUUGUCCACUCCUCGUGAUUUAUCUUCUCAGUCUUUUCUUUAAGAGUAAGCUCCAACUCUUUCUAACAUAAGAGAUCCAUCACCUCAUAUUGCUGCAUACCAAAAUUAUUAGUACCAUUGAAUUUGUCCACUUCAAACUUUGCAUUAGUCACAAUAGUCAUCGCUGAUGAAGACAACAAUGAUGUCUCUAUCAUCUUUCUUAACCUAAAUGACCAAUGCUGUCAGUAGCUAUUCAUAAAUAGACUGUCUCCCAAGUACAAAUCGUCGUCUCCAUCGUAUGCGUGAAUAGUACCAUAUCUACAAAUAAUAUUAUUUACGUGAACAGUGUAGUAUACCCCAAGUAUGAACCUUUGGCUCUAAUACCAAUUUUUGCGGAAGCGCGGGUUGAGCAAUUAUCAAUAUUAUGGUGACUGUGACUUCUGCAGAAAUAUAAAUAUGGUAAUAAGAAAAUGCAAAAAAAUAAAUUAAAUACAAUAAUUUAUGUGGUUCGGCAUAAAAUCUACAUUCACGGGCAAAGAUUAAAGCUAAUUUCAGUAAUAAAUGGGAAUUUACAAAAUUGAGAAAAAAGCUCUCGAAGCCGAAAACCUCAAUACACCCAUUUGGAUCCUCACUAGAACACUUAAGUAAUAGCUCUCUCAAAUCUCUCAAAUUGAUUUACUUGCAAUUGCUCUCAAAAUGUGGAUGCCUUCAAAUGAACAAAUGGCUUGGUAUUUAUAGCCAAAGAUCAUGCAUGCAUUUAAUUCCUUUGUCCCCAAAAGCUUUGAAAAACGGCAACCAAAAUCAACAAUUUUGACAAAUUCAAGCGGCAUCUAGAAAAACCACCACAUUUUUCUCCAUGCAUAUGUCAACAAAAACAUGCCGCCGAUUUUGCUUUUUGAAAUUGGCGAGCGAUUAUUUGACUUUCAACAGCCUCGAUAAAGUUUGGCAGAAUAAUAAUAUGGCAUAACCAACAUAACCUGGGCAAAGUUUAGCAAAAUAAUAAUACGGGCAGAACAUUUGGCCGUAAAACGAUCUACAGAAGGAUAGACAUUCUCAAAUCUCAGCUUAUUUCUGUCUUUCCAAAUCAAAUAAAGCAGGUAAUAACUGGUGGUGACCCAAAUAUUAUAAAGUUGAGGACUAAUUAAUCUGAUAUUGAAAAAUAAACUCCCAUAAAUCAUUAAUCUGGAGACUUUAGUACAAGACAAAGCAAGGUCAAUAAAAUAACUAAUAGGAGGAAGAGGAUCCGACAACCAUCUGUCAAUCCAAAAAAUGAAUAAAGAAGCCAUCAGCAAUAACACUUUAAGAGACCAGCCUAUUAAGAGGAAUUAACAAAAAACCGAUUGGUGUAUAAUAAGUUUGUAACAAGCUUUAAGAUAGUCAGCAUACAUAGAAGAAUGAUUUUUAACAUUGCAUAAAAUCUUUUACAGGCAUGCAUGAUCUAUUUAAAAUAUCUAGACGACGAAGUCCAAGACCACCCACUGCCUUUAACAAACAAAACUGAUCGCAAUGAACUAACGCUAUCUUCCGAGAACUGUAAUCACAAGAAAUGAAUUUCCGAGACCAGGUAUGAAGCUGUUUGAUCAAAGAUUUAGGCCAUAAAUAAAUCUAGAUGCUAUAGAGCAAAGGACUGCGGAAAAUAGCUUUAACGAGCCCCACUCUACCGGUUUAAACCGUUUUGAGCGAUUUGAACUUUAUACUAUUAUCAAGAUAUUCAUAAUAUCUUCAUUAAUAAAAUGGUAUUCGAAAUAGAUGGCUUAAUUGUCGCCAUCUUUCUAAAGGCAAUGAAUUUCCUUUUCUGUUGUACUUUUAGAUAAUAAAAGGGUGUUAUGGAUCAUCCAGCAAAUCUUGAUCAUGAGUACUCCAGGUUUACUGGAUGGCAUGUGGUGCCUUCAAAGGUACAAACAUCCUUCCAAAGAAGUUAGAUGGUCUUUCAAGUUAGAGAUUAUUUCAGUUUUGAAGAGGUAAGCCUCACUAUGUGCUCUCCUGAAUUGAUGCAACUGUUUCUUUUAUAUCCAAAAAAAUUGCCCUCUCUAUCGAGGUUUCUCGAAAAAUUAAAUUUUUACUUCAAAUAUGAGAAUAAAAACCUAUCUUUAGGAGAACAAAAUUGAAUGAGGUAAAGUGAAAUUUAUAUUAUUAAAGAAGUAUUUAAUUAAGGGUGGUGAUAUUUCCACCCCACAAAUUCUGCAAAUCCACCCCACUUUUAAAAAAUAAUUACAAAAAAUUCUCAUUAUUUUUAAAAAUUUCAAAUAAAAAAGAAUUCAGAAGAAUUAAUCAAUUAAAUCUAUUUAAAUUUAUUUUGUUGUGACUUAGAUUUUUUUAUUAUAUUUGACUAAUAAGACUGCUUUAACCUAAAUUUAAAUUGACUAUUUUACGCUUAAAGGGUAAAAAUACCAAAAAUUUAAUUUAGCUUCAACAAUUUCUUAAUUUCAUACAAAAUUCAUUGUUUCUAAAUUGUUAAUUUUACUUUAUUAAUAUGAUUAUUAAUUUUUAAUUAAACUAACAUAAUGUUCUUAUGAGAAAAUUCUCAUUAAAUUAUUAGCCUGUCAAAUUUAUGUCAUUUACAUGUAAAAUAUUGAAAAUUAUUAGACGUCAUUUAAGAAGUGAUGGUUGUCGAAGCCAGUAAAAAUAAAUACCUACUCUAAAUAAAUUGUGUAUAGGGAUUGAGAAGGGUCGUGUCCACAGAGAUCGGUAAUUAUUUAAAUCCUUUUUAAAAUGUAAAUUGCAAAAUGGGGGGAUUGUUGACAAUAAUAAAAAUCAAAUUAAAAUAACAAGAAUGCAAAUUAAAAUUGUAAUUCAAAUUGCGAAAAGCUCUGGUUGAAGGAAUUAACUCAGCUUGAUUCAACUACUGAUAAUUUUAAAAUAACAAGAAUGCAAAUUAAAAUUGUAAUUCAAAUUGCGAAAAGCUCUGGUUGAAGGAAUUAACUCAGCUUGAUUCAACUACUGAUAAUUGAUUCAAAUAUAAAUCAUUGCUACUUAUGAAUAGACCGGUUGUAGCUACUGAGACCCUCUAAUAGCCAAUCUCUCCUUAACUAGUCGAUAACCAAGGUACGACCAUUGGUUAUUUCCCUAAUCAAUAGAUAACCCUAGAUACGAUCAUAGGAUUUAAUCAAUUGACAGCCUGAAAAACCAGAGAGACCCAAAUCCUAAUCAACAAACGCAUACGAUGGUUCAUUUAAAUUAGAUUGUUUAUUCUCAUAACACAACGCACUGCUAUGUUAUUUGUCACAAACAUUGAAAUCUUCAUACGAUGAAUCCUAUAAUUGACAAUAUAUUAAGUUGAUAAUUAAAUAGUGGCAUAUUAUCUAAUUAACAAACAUAAUCAUGACAAUAAUUUUGAGAAUAAACAAAUACCCAAAAAGUAAUAAAACAAUUAAAGCAUAAGAAAGAUCUCACAGUAAUGAUGAAUCAAAGCUUCAUUAACCUUCAACCAGAAUAAUAGGUUUAGUUCUUCAUAGAGAGAAGAGAAAAAUUUAGAUCUAGGGUUUCUUUCUUCUUCCUCUUUCCAAAGUCCCCUCCUCUCUUGUUUUUCACGUCUCCUUCCUCUUAUAGAGUUUUUCUAAAAAUAAAAUACUAACAUCUAAAAUAUUAUCUAAAUAUUAAAUUCAAAAGUACAAAAUUAACCAAAAAGACAAAACACGUUAAACUAAAAACUGCAGGUCCGUAGUUGACAGCACACCCCCACACCUUAUCAACAAAGUUCUUCUGAAGCUCAUAAUUUCUCAAGGAAAACAAUCAUCCCCAAACAUCAUCUUGUAGCUCAAUUUUAGCACCAAUCAAUAUAAUUGCACCUACAAAAAUAAAAUACAAGUAAAUCACUAUUAUUAAGUGCAAAACAUCGAUAUUAAAGGAAGUAAACAAUGCAAAACUAGUGCAUAAAUUGCACUCUAACAAGAAGUUAGAUUAAAAGUCAAAAAACUAAGUACCUAAAGUAUUAGAUACAAGAACACAUAUUUUUUUGGACAAGUGGGUCAUUUUAUGUCAUAAAGCAAAAUAAUUAAAUGGAACUUAUAUUAAAGCUACUUUAAUAGUUUUAAAAAACUAAGUAAAAAAAUAUAAGAAUGAUUUAAUUGAUUAAUUAUAUAUAUUUUUUUGUUGAUUUGUAUUUAUUAGAAAAAAAUGUGUAUUUAUUGCAAAUAUUUUGUAGAAGUGAAGGGGGUUUAGGCAAAUAAUUGGGUGGAAAUAUCCCCACCCCUUAAUUAACUAAAGGAAGAUUGUCAAUUCCUCCCCUACUGUAAUUAAUAUUUAUGAUUUGCGCCCUCAUAUUUUUAUAAUAGCCAAUAAUCCCUCAACAAUAUAAGUUUACAAUAUUACCCUUGUUUUUAAAUACACUUUUAUUCAUAUUUAUUAUAGAUUAAAUAAAUCAUGUGAAUGGAAAUUAAAAUAAAAAAAUUAAGUAUAAAAAAUAAGAAAUAUAUGUUUUCAUGUGAAAAAAAUUAAUAAUAAAAUAUUUUUCUUAUACUUUUUUUUAUUUUAUAAACAUUUUCUUAUAAUAAAUAUAUAAGAAAAUUAUUAUAAUAUGAUAAAAAAACUGCUGUACCGUAAAGAAAAUAUUUACAAAAUAAAAAAGUACAAGAAAAAAUUUUAUUAUUAAUUUUUUUGUUCACAUCAAAGCAUAUAUUUCUUGUUUUUAAUAUUUAAUUUUUUUAUUUAUUUUCUAUUCAUAUGAUUUAUUUAAUUUAUAAUAAAUAUAAAUAAAAGUAUAUUUUAAAAUAGACGUAAUAUUGUAAACUUAUGUUGUUAUGGGAGUUACUAGUUAUUAUAAAUACAACAGGGAAAUAAAUUGUAUAUAUUAAUUACAGUAGUGGGGAAAUUGAUAAUCUCCCUUAACUAAAUAUCAUCUUAAAGUAUAUGAAAACUGAAUAAGGUAAAGUAAAAUUUACAUUAUUAAAGAAGUACCAAUUAACUAAAUAUCGUAUCAAAGUAUAUGAAUAUAAAAAUCCAACUUCAUACAAAUGCUUGCAUAGCUAGAAACAUCAUAUUAACCUAUAAAAGAUAUCAAAUUAUCAAUAAGCCAUUAAGCCUCAACUUUUAAUUUCUCAUAAAGAUCAUCAUUAUCAUCAACUGAGUCCGCAAUCUUGGCUAAAACUCUCUCCCUUAUUUGCGGAUCUUCUCUUGUUAUUUUCAGCUAGGGAUUCUCUCAGGCUUUAGUUCUCCAAGAAGAAUCCAAAGAUGAAGCCGCAUUGACAAUGUAUAUCAACAAACAUCGAUCACCUAAAAAAAUAUUCCGUUGCGUAAAUAUACGGUAAAUAUAUAUAACGGGUCUUGCUAAGUUAUAUCAUAUGUAACGUAUAUCGACCAAAUUUUUUUUUUUUUUUAAUUUUUAUGACUCAAUUGUUACUUGUCACACAACUAAGGUUAUAGGACACUACUUUUAGGUCAACUACAAAUUACAUAUAAUGUAACUUAGUAGUUACCUUAAUGUAGAUUUCCCUUUGAGUAGUUAACACUAAGAAUGGUAUGCUUAAACUCCUAGCGCAUGUCAUAUUGAUAAUAUAAGAAGAUGGUUCAUUUGAGUUUGACUAAAAUGCCCUUGUGGACUUGUCGUACUAAUAUAUUUAACAACGAAAUUUAGGACUAGUUUUGUAAUGUUGUAGCUUUUAAAAUAAUUUCUAUUAGAUUUGUAGUGGACCUAAUCAAUUGUGAACAAAAUCAACUAAAUGUUCAGUAAAUUUUAUUUCUAAAAGUGUUGGGAGUAUUAAAAUUAAUUAUACAUAUUAAAUCUUAUUAUUAAAUUAUUGUUAGAGUACAAGUGACUAAAAUAGACAUAAUGUUAAGUGAAAUUUACUUCAACAAAUAGUCCAGGAUUCUAUACUUUAUUAAAGUACCAAAAAGUUAUUAAAAUAUAUGCUUUAAUAGUAUUAUAUCAUACACUAUUAAACUAUAUGGCUUAAUAGUAUUUCCAGACUUUAACAAAUCUAGGAUUCUAGAUUGGAAUAUAUAUAAUUCACCUUAAAUUUUAUUAAAUAUUAAAAAACACAUAUUAACCCUAUCUUGAAACAAUGAUAUUUGCACUAUUAGAGAAUUAUUGAUGGAAUGGAAAAUAGAGAGAAAAAGAAUUGGGAUAAAGAGCGUGCAUGAAAAAAAAAUCAAAAUGAUAAUAAUCUUAAACUUUCUGAUUUUAUUUGUUAAUUAAUUAAGGAUAAUGUUGGUCUUAUGUAAAAUAUGUAACGAUAUAGUAAAUUACCAAAAUUAAUUAUACAUAUUAAAAUUUAAAUUUUAUUUGAUGCUCAAAAUCAAAUUUUGUCACGAGUGAUUUCAAAAAGAAAAUUACCAAAAUUAAGUUUUUACUUCUUAAAUUACUUUGAAGUCUUAAUAGUAAUCUUAAAUGAGUCCUCAGUCAAGAUGAAACAAAAAUAAAUUUAAAUUAUUUUAAAAAGUCAGGUCCUCUCGUAAAAAAAAAAAGUCAGGGUCCCCCUUUAAAUUUCGUUAUUUCUAUCAAAAUUUCUGCCGUUCAGAUAAGAGUAAAAGUGUCUAGGAGCGUAUUUGCUGACCGUUGGAUGCAAAAUAUCUCACCGUCCUCCCAGUAACGUACGAUGUUCGACUGGCCUUCGACCACAAAGAAGAUAUUUGGUUUCAAAAUUUUGACCGUUCAUAUAAAGCCACCGAUCAAAUGGCUGAGUUUUGUUAUCCCCAAGUUGGACAUAAUCAAACUGCAAAAUACACGUUACUUUUGCAACCACGCUGACGUGGAAACAUAGAGUUAUGAAUCCGUUUUUGUCGAUAGCAUUGUUGAUGGCCCAGGGCCAAUGUGGUACUUAUGUAAAAUAAUUAUUAAGCUGUUUUUAGCAGUUCAACCAUUUUAAAAAUCUCAACCGAAACUUAUAGGAAGCGAAAAACCACAAUAUUUAAGAUUUUUCAAAUGUAUGCAGAGGCAACAAAAUCAAUCACACUUGUAGGGAAGAUUCCCAAUUCCAAAGUCAAUUUAAAAGAUUGGAGUAUUAUUUACCACGACGAAACCAGGAACUCCAGGGGUAUUUUGUCUACGUAGCCAUGUUGAAAAUAAUUCAACAAAUCGUAAGAAAGAUCCAAACUAACAAAAAAGUCCCCUUCUAAGUUUGCCAAAUGCUCUGCCUCCUCAGUAUCUUUUCCAGCUUCAAACCAUUUCAGAAACACGGCCAAACAUUCCUUAGAGGAAUCCACCCGAUUCCAGUUUCACAAAUUGAUUUCUUCAUCGCUUCCAUUGCCUUUUCUGUUUGAUCAUUCUGAAGAUACCCCGUUGCCAUAAGAUACCACGUCCUCACAUCAGGGUUCAGCCCCCUUGAUUGUGCAUUGUUGAUAAUAGCUUCAGCCUUCCCUAAAAGACCUUUUCUGCAAUAUGCAGCAAUCAAGGGAUUUAUAACAUGGAUACAAUAAUGUGGAUUCCCCUUGGGCCAAUUCACUUCCUCCAAAAUCGUCUCAGAAAUUUCCAGGUCGUCAAAUUUCAGCACAGAAGGAAUGACGGAGCCUGCCACCUUCCAACCGCUCGAGUUCUUUUUGCAGAAUUCCCAAACUCUUAAAACAUCGUCUUUAUUCCCAAAUUCCGCAUACUUUGAGAUAAGAAAAUCAUACGGUGGGUAUCUGUCUUGUCCACCCGUUGCCAGUCCCUCACAUUUCUUUAGCAUUGCAUGAGUCUUGUCCAGAAGCCCAGCUCUUGCAUACCCACUUGCUGCAAUAGCAUAAACUGACAAGUCUACAACAAAAUUGGGAUCCGAUUCCAUCAUUGUCACCAUCUUCUUAAUUCCCUUGCAAUCAGAAACAGCUGCAUAUGCACUCAGACGGAUGUAGAAUGUAUAAUCGUUGUAACCAAUACCCUUUUCUUCAAUUUCCAGCACCAUACUUUCAAUUUUCUCAAGUUUUCCAGUCUGAUAGUAAAGAUUAAGCAUACAAUCGUAAGCCAUUGUUUCCCUGUCUAACCCCAAAUCCCUUAAUGUCUGCAUGAUGGCUUCCGCUUUCUUCACAGACUCUGAUUUGUACACAGAAUCUAGUUUGGCAUAGCAAUAAAGCAAAGCAAUAUAAACCUCGAGAGCCCUUAAGUUUUCUGGAAUGUUACUGAAAAAAAUUUCUGCUCUUCUAUUCCCUUAUAAUGGAAAAUCAAAACCAGUCGAACAGCAAUAUCACCAGUUGUAAGUUCAAAGUAUCUUUUGUUCCACAUCGGUAUCUGGAGAAAAGAGAGAUUAUAAUAAAAGGAUUGCAAAAAAUAAAAUGAGACGACAAAAGCAUGCUAAACUGACAAACAAUACCAAACAAGUUUUGCAACAAGAUAAUUAAAAAAAAAAAUCAAUUAUCAAUAAUAGCUCAAAUUUCUUAUGCUUUCAAGGAAGCUAAAUUUGGCAGAACAUCAAAACUAUUUUACCAGCCAGUCAAUUUUCUUGAUUAAUAUAGGUACCCAAGAUAACGAGCAAGUCUUAGAAAACAAAAGCAAUAAAAUAUUACAACUAAAAUCACACAUCUGUGCGUGCUGUGAAAUGAUGUCGUGUUUGAAGGAUCCUUUGAAAAAUACACCAAGCACCCAAUUUAAUAUCAGCUGAUUUCGGUUAUGUUUAUAAAAGGUGAAAAUAUAUAAAAUAACAUUUGAUUCCAAUUCCAUAAUGCAAAAUCAUUAAAACACAGAGAAGUAAAGACUGAUGCAAUUGAUAACCCAAAUGGAAAAAAAAAAAAAUGAAAUCUGAUGAUUUAAUAAAUACCUCGAGAGCAUCCAAGUAACAUGCUUUGUUUAGCAACAGAUCCAUAUUGAACUCAAUGUCAUCUUUGCCUACGUCUUCUCCCAUUUUAGCCAUUUCAUCGAGCUCCUCAAACACCCAGACUGCCGGGCUUCCGACAGUCCGACUGGGGAGAUCUUUUCCGUUGAACCCCAAAAAGCACUUGUUGUUUGGUCUCGUGUUGUUGUUGUUGACAGCCGGGAAGCUCCCAAUAAACGACAAAAGCAUGCUAAACUGACAAACAAUACCAAACAAGUUUUGCAACAAGAUAAUUAAAAAAAAAAAUCAAUUAUCAAUAAUAGCUCAAAUUUCUUAUGCUUUCAAGGAAGCUAAAUUUGGCAGAACAUCAAAACUAUUUUACCAGCCAGUCAAUUUUCUUGAUUAAUAUAGGUACCCAAGAUAACGAGCAAGUCUUAGAAAACAAAAGCAAUAAAAUAUUACAACUAAAAUCACACAUCUGUGCGUGCUGUGAAAUGAUGUCGUGUUUGAAGGAUCCUUUGAAAAAUACACUAAUGAUGUAGGAAACCAAGCACCCAAUUUAAUAUCAGCUGAUAUUUCCGUUAUGUUUAUAAAAGGUGAAAAUAUAUAAAAUAACAUUUGAUUCCAAUUCCAUAAUGCAAAAUCAUUAAAACACAGAGAAGUAAAGACUGAUGCAAUUGAUAACCCAAAUGGAAAAAAAAAAAAAUGAAAUCUGAUGAUUUAAUAAAUACCUCGAGAGCAUCCAAGUAACAUGCUUUGUUUAGCAACAGAUCCAUAUUGAACUCAAUGUCAUCUUUGCCUACGUCUUCUCCCAUUUUAGCCAUUUCAUCGAGCUCCUCAAACACCCAGACUGCCGGGCUUCCGACAGUCCGACUGGGGAGAUCUUUUCCGUUGAACCCCAAAAAGCACUUGUUGUUUGGUCUCGUGUUGUUGUUGUUGACAGCCGGGAAGCUCCCAAUAAGUUUGCAUGACUAAAUUGGGUUUUCUUAAUCCUGUGCAAAAUAGCACCCAACCGUAACAUCAGUGCAGCCUACUGAGAUAUUGUACAUGGAAGAAGAAAGUGAUAGCCGAUUGUUAUAAAAUAUAUAUCCAAAGGUUUCUUGGGAAAGAAGCAAUCAAUGACUGUCAGUUAUGGGGGUAAAUUUGUAAUUGUAAUCGACGACAGUUUUUACGGUUUAUUAUAUUUUGUUUUCGAUUGAAAGCGAAAAGGCUAUAGUUGAACUAAGUCAAAUUAAAUAUCACGUUGAAAGUAUUACAAUCAGACCUCUACUUAUAUCAUUUGAUAUAUACAUCAUAAUUAGAGCACCACUCAUAUAUUUACAAUUAAAUUUUUAUUGAGAUCAACCUACAUUAAUUCUGUUGUGACACACUUCAAACUAAUUACACAAUAUUUACAAUCAGCUAUUUAUGGUGAUUGAUCAAAAUCAAUUUCAUUAUUGCACAGCCCAACCCAAGUAUUGUAAUAUUUACAGGCGUAAGAGUAGCUGGGAUGCACGGGUUAGGUGACAGUGGGCUCAGAGUCAGUUUCAUUAUAAGCUUCUUCUAAUAUUUAAGAUCUAUUUGCUAUAAUAAUAAUUUUACUUCGUUGAGAUAUUUAAUAUGUAUACCAACAGAUGUGUAAGUGAUUAUGUUGUAUUAUUUGAUUGGUUCAAGUGAACUUAACUACUCAGUCUUAUCAUUUCAUAUCUAAAUGAUAAAUUUAUAUUGGUGACACAUUAAUUAGUACACCAAUUAAGAAUCCUAACUAAAUGAAUAUAACAUUUCGUUACUCAUGAAGCAUAGUUAUAGUGGAUAUUUCACUCUCAUUUCUCCACAUCAUCCUCCACUUCUCAAUUCACCCCACUAAAAAUUUUAAAAUAAUUUUUUUAUCACUCAAUUUAUCCUGUCUAAUCCUCACUUUACUCUUAUGACAAUUUUUAUCCUCUUCUCAUACACUCCACCGUAUAAAACUUUAAAAAUCUGCUUUAAAAACGAAAAGGGACUCUUUGAUAAUCUCUGUGGGUUCAUUAUCAGUGCAGCCGUGGGUUUCUUUCAAAUAUUAAAAAUGUUUCUCAAUUAUAAUCUCCCAAAUUGCCAUCGUAGAACAAAAACACUCAACAAAAGCCAAAAAAAUAAAAAUAAUAAUAAAUGCUUGAUAGAAAGUGGAUUAGAUUAACAAAAGAAACGAAACAUAACAUUGCAUUUUUCGCCUUGAAAAUGGAAUUGAAAGGCCCUCUCAAUUUGUUUCUCUACCUCUGUUAUAACAGGAAUGACAUUUUCGAAAAAAUGAUUAUAAAAUAAUGUAAUGAAGAAUCUCUUUGAAUCUAGCUGUUGGAGAUCUUCUAAUCUAACCUCUCUUUAUAAUUUAUUAUGAUAUUUAAUUAGAGCAAAGUUUAGACCAGACUUUACAGAUUGUUAACUUUAAACAUUCAUUGCAUACUUUGCUGUUUGUAGGGUGAAGAAAGGAAGUGAAAAUAUUAAUCCUAUUACUGUUACACCUCAUAAAAUAUUAAAGGUUUCAUAAAUACCCAACAAGUUACCAACUCUAGAAACUGGAUAAAAAAAAUUUACGAGUAACAUUGUUUGGUUUUGAAAAUAAAAAAUAAGACUGUAAGUUCCCAAUUGAAAAAAUGAAAAAUAAAAACAAAUCAGUUGCAUAUUCUAUUGCUUGAAGAUUAUCAAUUAAGAGCAUGAAUUGGAUUCUAGCACAUAACUCUCUAGUAAGGAUAAGAGAAAAUUCUCUUUUUAAAAAAAAUACUAUUUCAUUUAAAGGUAUCAUAGUGAUAUUUUGUUAAAGAGAGGCUUAAAUAUCACUUUAACAAAAAUAGAAUUAUAUAGAAUGAAGUUCUGUGAUAAAGAAUUAAAUUGUGUGAGAUAUAAUAAGAUAUAAACAAAAGACUGUUUUGAUACAUAAAAGAGUAUAGAAUAAAAAUUAAUUAUAAAAUUUAUUAAAUGAGUGUAAAAAUCAAAUGAUAUUCAAAAUUAAAUGUAGAGUGCAAAUAAUUCAUUCUAAGAUUAUCUUUAUCGUCUUAAUGUUGCACUAAUCAGUGUCCUUAUAAAAGUCAAAAUUCUCUCGAAUUUUCAUAUUAAAAUUGAUAUUUUAAAGCACACAAUUACAGUACAGUACAUCCUGAGGAUUAUUUAUACAUGAAUUUCUCGUUAAAACACAGACCAGCUGAGUCUACAGCAGAGAAAAGAAACAAAAAUGUAAUAGCUAGAAAUCAGUUAAUCUAAAUCUAUAUAAUAUGGGGACCAAAGCAACAGUUAUUGGGAGUUCUCUGGUGGAGCCUUCGAUUCUGGAGCUGGCAAAUAAUCAGCCACUGAUCACAGUUCCUCCACGUUAUGUUCGCGCUGAGAUAGACCAUCCCCUGAUUCGCAACGACGAUUCUUCAACACGACAACUUCCAGUCAUUGACAUGCACAGGCUGCUCUCUGGGGAUGACUCAGAGCUUGAGAAGCUUGAGCAUGCAUGUAAAGACUGGGGUUUCUUUCAGGUACAUAAUAAUUGAGCAGUGAUAUUCAGAUAAUAAAAAUACUUGAUCGCAAAUCAUUGCUUUUGUUAGCGUUCUUUCGGCUCUCGGUGUUUUUAGCAUUUUCCAUAAAAAUCAUUUUAUUUCCUGAGCUUUAAGUUUCCUAUAAGAACCAUGUAUGGAAAGAACAGCUUGUUUUAAUCUGCAUAUAUGCAGUUGAUGAAUCAUGGAGUGAGCAGUUCAUUGGUGGAGAAAGUGAAAGAAGGAUUCAAGACUUCUUUAAUCUUCCAAUUGAUGAGAAAAAGAAAUUUUGGCAGCAGCCAGGGGAUAUUGAGGGAUUUGGGCAGCUUUUUAUUACGUCUGAAGAGCAGAAGCUUGAUUGGGGAUACGGCUUUACUAUGUUCACUCUCCCAACCCAUCUGAGGAAACCCCACUUGUUCCCCAAGUUGCCUCUCCCAUUCAGGUUCUAUAUUUAAAUCGUAGAGUUUUGCUGCAUAGUAUACUCUAUCAUAUGAUAAUUAAUGGACUAUAUAUCGUUAUUUGCAUGCAGAGAUGACUUGGAAGUUUACUUAACGGAACUUAAAAAUCUUACCUUGAAAAUCCUUGACCUAAUGGCUAAAGCUCUAAGAAUGGAUCCCAAUGACAUGAUAGAGUUGUCUGAAAACGGGAUGCAAUCAUUAAGGAUGAAUUAUUAUCCUCAUUGUCCGCAACCAGAGCAAGUUCCUGGCUUUAAGCCUCAUUCUGAUGGCUCCGUACUCACCAUCCUCCUCCAAAUCAAUGAGAUGGAUGAUCUCCAAAUUAAGAAAGAUGGAAAAUGGGUUGCUGUUAAACCCCUUCCUGAUGCCUUUAUAUUCAACAUUGGUGACGUUUUAGAGGUAACACUGGUCAUUUUCUAUAGCCUAUUAUAAGUAACGCUAUGUCUCUACAUAGUUUCUAUCUCUAGUAAUGUUAAGUGACAUCUAACAUGUCUUUUAUUGGUAAGUAGAGUAGAAUCUUUGUAUAAUUUGUAUUAAUAAUAGAAAAUAAAGUCUACUAACAGCAAAUUUAUAAUAAGAAAUAAUUGGUGACACGUCGCUUGCAAUAAAAGCUAAGCUGUUAGCAUAGGAUAUGUAGUUGAUGACUAGUUUCAUCUAAUUUUUUCCUCCUCUUGAUUAUACUCUCUAACUUUUUUUUUUUUUAGGUUCAAUUUAUGAUCCUGUAGAUUUUUAGCAAUGGAACUUAUCGUGAUAUUGAACAUCGUGUGACUGUAAACUUAAUGAAGGAAAGGUUAUCUUUCACUACAUUUUACAACCUAAAAUUAGAUGGAGAAUUGGGUCUAGCACCAAGUCUUAUGAAAUUUCCAUGCGGAUACACUUUAAAACCACAUGGUUUAAAAGAAUUAGUUUUUAAAUCUUUUAAAACUCACAGUUUUAUAGUUCAUUCACAAACUAUUUUUUUUUAAAUCACACAGUUUAAAAUUGUGACCGCAUUAAUAAAAAUGCGGGCGUCCGCACCUGAGAAUAAAUUUUAUUGAAUAUUGAUAAAUUAAAAAAUAAAGUCGUGAAACAUAUACUAAGGUGACGUUUGUUUUUUAACUUAAUGACUUAAAGUGACUUAACUUAAUUAAUUAAGUUAAUUAGAUGUGUUUGUUUUUUUUAUAAUUUAUUUUUCAUGUCUAUCCCAAAACUCACCUAUAGAUAUUUACCCCAUAUAAAAAUAUCCAUGUUUUUUCUUUCUUAUAUUAUAUAUGAUAAAAUUUGAAAUUUAUGGUAUUUUAUAUAUUAAAAUUCUAAAAUAAUUAUGUAUUCACUUGAAUAUAGUUUUACUUAUAAAUGUUAAAAUAUUGUGGUAUUUAAUAUAUUAUUUAUUUGACAUUCAAAUUUAAUAAGGAUACAAAUGUAAAAGUACAUAUUUUCAGCUUUUUAAGUUGAAAAAAACAAACAACUUAAUACUUAUUUUUUGAGAUUCAGACAAAAAAAUAAACAUAUUAUUCAUAUUCAGACAUUCAGACUAAUUCAGAUCUAUUCAGAUUUCAGACAAAAAAACAAACGCCACCUAAGUGUUGAUCUUGUAGCAAUGAUAUUUGCAGUAUUGGAGAAUUAUUGAUGGAAUAUAAAAACAAAAGAAGAAGAAUUGGGGUAGAGAUCGUGCAUAAAGAAAAAAAAAACGAAUAAAAAUAAUAGUGGUCUUGAAUUUUUUUUAUUUUAUUUCUUAAUUAAUUAAGGAUAAUUUUUUUUUAUGUAAUAAUAUAUUUAAAAUUAUUUAAGUAUAAAAUUUGUUCUCAAAAUUAAAGUUAUCAAUAAUUUUAAGAAAAUUACCAAACAAAAUUAAAUUUUAAUAUUUUAAAAUUACUUUUGAGUAAAAUAGUAAUCUUAAAUGAGCCCUUAUUCAAUUACCAGGAUAAAACGAAAAUGAAUUUAAAUUUAAAGGACUUAAAUUAUAAUGCAGUUUAAAAAGUCACGGUCCCCUUCUAAAAUUCGUGAUUUCUACCAACGAUGCGGACCGANNNNNNNNNNNNNNNNNNNNNNNNNNNNNNNNNNNNNNNNNNNNNNNNNNNNNNNNNNNNNNNNNNNNNNNNNNNNNNNNNNNNNNNNNNNNNNNNNNNNNNNNNNNNNNNNNNNNNNNNNNNNNNNNNNNNNNNNNNNNNNNNNNNNNNNNNNNNNNNNNNNNNNNNNNNNNNNNNNNNNNNNNNNNNNNNNNNNNNNNNNNNNNNNNNNNNNNNNNNNNNNNNNNNNNNNNNNNNNNNNNNNNNNNNNNNNNNNNNNNNNNNNNNNNNNNNNNNNNNNNNNNNNNNNNNNNNNNNNNNNNNNNNNNNNNNNNNNNNNNNNNNNNNNNNNNNNNNNNNNNNNNNNNNNNNNNNNNNNNNNNNNNNNNNNNNNNNNNNNNNNNNNNNNNNNNNNNNNNNNNNNNNNNNNNNNNNNNNNNNNNNNNNNNNNNNNNNNNNNNNNNNNNNNNNNNNNNNNNNNNNNNNNNNNNNNNNNNNNNNNNNNNNNNNNNNNNNNNNNNNNNNNNNNNNNNNNNNNNNNNNNNNNNNNNNNNNNNNNNNNNNNNNNNNNNNNNNNNNNNNNNNNNNNNNNNNNNNNNNNNNNNNNNNNNNNNNNNNNNNNNNNNNNNNNNNNNNNNNNNNNNNNNNNNNNNNNNNNNNNNNNNNNNNNNNNNNNNNNNNNNNNNNNNNNNNNNNNNNNNNNNNNNNNNNNNNNNNNNNNNNNNNNNNNNNNNNNNNNNNNNNNNNNNNNNNNNNNNNNNNNNNNNNNNNNNNNNNNNNNNNNNNNNNNNNNNNNNNNNNNNNNNNNNNNNNNNNNNNNNNNNNNNNNNNNNNNNNNNNNNNNNNNNNNNNNNNNNNNNNNNNNNNNNNNNNNNNNNNNNNNNNNNNNNNNNNNNNNNNNNNNNNNNNNNNNNNNNNNNNNNNNNNNNNNNNNNNNNNNNNNNNNNNNNNNNNNNNNNNNNNNNNNNNNNNNNNNNNNNNNNNNNNNNNNNNNNNNNNNNNNNNNNNNNNNNNNNNNNNNNNNNNNNNNNNNNNNNNNNNNNNNNNNNNNNNNNNNNNNNNNNNNNNNNNNNNNNNNNNNNNNNNNNNNNNNNNNNNNNNNNNNNNNNNNNNNNNNNNNNNNNNNNNNNNNNNNNNNNNNNNNNNNNNNNNNNNNNNNNNNNNNNNNNNNNAGUACCAAUCUAAAGAUAAACCACACAAUGUGACACUACAUGGAUAAGAAUACUAUUCUACUGUGAAAUCUUAGCUUACCUUAGCUUUAAUUGAACGAACGUUUGGGAUAGACAAAUGAUAUUUGAACACUAUAAUGGCAUUAGGAUAUAAUACAAGUGAUGGUAGGUUGCGUAAAUGAUCCGCAUCAUUUUAGUGUGCCACAAAAUUAUGAUUUAUUGAAUAAUAAUAUUAUAGAGUGAUGUUAUUUGUACCCUAAAUUUUAUUUUAAAGACUGUAAUUUUUAAUAAAAAUAUUAUUACAAAAACUCCUCCAAUAUCAUUUACUAAUAAAGACAAUUCAAUUUAAGUUAAUGGAAUAUGAUUACUCUUCACACCAUUGAACGCACAUUCAAUUCAAUAAUCCAAUUACAAAACCCUGUAACUUUCUUUAACAAUAAAUCUAAUUUAUCAUUCGUAAAAGAAAAUAUUAAGGGUUUAAUAAAUAACCAACAAGCUACCAACAACAGCAAUUGAAAAAAAAUUUUUAUUUAUGCGGAAAAAAUGAGAAACAUUAUUUUGAUUUAAAAAAUUAAAAAUAAAACUGUACGUUUCAAACCCCCAAAAAGAAAAAGGAAAAAUAAUAAGAAAUCAGCUGCAUAUUGCUGCUGCUUCAAAAUUAUCAAUUGGAAAUACAAACUUGACUCCAGUCUAUAACUCUCUGGUAAAAUGAAGAGACAUUUCUCUUUUGACGGAAGUUUAUUUCAUUCAAAGAGAUGAGGGUCAUUUUUUUUUUUCAAGAGAUUUGAAUAUCAUUAACAAUAAUAGAAUUACAUAGAAUAAAGUUCUUUAGUCAACAAAGAAUUAAAUUGGGUGAGACGUAAGAUAUAAAUGGAGGACUAUUUUGGUAUUUAAAAGAAUGUGCUCAAUAAAAUCAAUUUUUAAAAUUUAUUAAAUGAGAGAACGAGUGUACAGAAUAAAGUGAUACUGUAAAAUCUAGAUUUCAAAUAGCCCCAUAUUAAGUCAUGGUUUGUCUUUUUAUUUUAAUUUUGAAAUAGGUUUGAAUGUUACUGAAGUUUGAAUGGCUUUGAAUGCUUAAGCUAGAAUAAUAUGUUUGGUUUUUAUUUUUUGGCAUCUGAGUGUAAGUGGUAAGUUGUUUGUAUUUUUACACUUAUGACUAGCUUAAAUAGAUAUGUAUUCAUAGUGUUUUCUAGUACAAUAGUUUUUAUAUGUUAUAAAUAUUUACAAGAAAAAUAAUUGAUAUAUAAUUUAUGAAAAAUAAUUUUGGUAACAUUAAUUUUUACAAUUUAGCAUAAUAUUUAUACAUAAAAAAAGUUGUUAUCUAUUAAUAAAAGAUUUUUUUUUUUAAAUUCAAAUUGAAUGUAUGUUAAAUACUUAAUAUGUAGUAAAAUUUCUUAUCUAUUGCCGCUGGAAGAUGGUAUCUCUACUGGAAGUCUUACUGUUAGAAUAUUUCCAUUAAUCUUUCGAAGUUUUGUUGGGUAACUUGGCUUGAUGGCUAGAAUUUGAAUUGCUUUUCUUAGAUUUUAAUUGGGAUUUAACUAUUGUUUUAUAUUUUAGAUUUUUUUAUAUUUGGGAUGUUUUAUUAUGUAUUGGUGGUGACGACAUUGAAUACUAGAUGUAUUUGUUUUGAAAUUAAUUUGUUGGAUUGAAUGGAGGUUAAUUAAUAUUAAUUACUUUUAGUUUUUUUGAUGAUAUUCAUUUUUAUUAGUUAAUUAAAUUUGUAAUCAGGAAUUCACAAAUAAAUUAUAAUCACAAUAGAAUUUUUUUUAAAAAAAAUUGACUUUAUGAUGGGAAAUAAUGAUCAUAAUGUUUGUCAUAAAACAUUUUGAGCCAAAAUUCAAUAAUAAAUUUACAAAUGAUAAUUUAAUUUCCCACCAAAAAUUUAAAAAAAUAGCGCAAAAAUAUAUAUAAAUUCAAAUUUUAAUUUAAUUAUUUUUCACAUUAAGAUAUUGUGUGACGUAUAUAUAACUGUAAAAUACUAUCAUGAAUUCAUGAUGGAAAAUAUUUUGUCAUAAAUUAAUGACAGUGAAAUAGAUGACAGAUGAACUGUUUGUCAUGCACCCCCUUUUACAAUAGUUAUUUCUCGUCAUCUAUUACCUGUUUUCUUGUUGUGAAAAUAGAUAUAACUUUAAAUUAUCUUCUUUUUUUUUAAGUAUAUUUAAUAAUGUUUAGACAUGCCUUUUUCUCUUUAAAACAAGUAAAAUUGCAUAAAGUGAAAAAAGAACUCUAUAAAUUUGUUAUAUAAAAAAUAUGAUUAAAAUUCAUACUAAUACAUAACUGUUAAUUUUCAUGUGAAAUUGUUCAAAGUUAAAAAAAAAAAUUUGCAUAAUUAUAUACAUACGUUUUUUAAUCUUAUAAUAGAAAAUAAAAGUAAAAUAUAAAAAAAAAUACAAACUUACUAGGUCAAAACUUUGAUACUAGAGAGAAUAUAUAAUAGUUGUGUCGGUAAUUUGAUUGUGAUGGUAAUGUGAUAUCUAAUGGUUUAAUAUUAUGGUGUAUGAGAAAGUAAGACAAUUAUUUUUUUAAUUAAAAUAUUAAGGCUAUAAUAGGAACUUUAAAAAGGUAUGAUAGUUUAUUUAAUAAGCUGCUUAUGAAAAGUAACUCUCUACUUACUUUUAAAAGUUGUUGUCAAAAUGGAGAAAAUGAUUAAAUAAGCAACUUUUACAAAAUUUACCAAACAUUAUUUUUGUCACAAAUUACAAAAUAAGUUGCUUAUUGAGUUUCAACAUCAAUUCCAAACGGGGCAUAUAUUAUUAAGUCAGCACCAGUUAGUCAUUUAGGUGCAAUAAGCAGUCUCUAUUAGAAAAUUCUGGUACAAGUGGCAGAGGGAAAGAAGUAAUAGAGUAAUAGGAUUCUCAUAUAACUAAUUAUCACCACAUUAUUGAAGUCCAAAAAGCUAUUAAGCUAUAUGGCUUGAUAACUUUUCCGAACUUUAAUAAAUCCAUGUUUUAGAUUGGAAUGUGCGUAUAUAAUUCACCUUAAAUUUUAUUAAAUAUUUAAAAACACAUAUUAACCUAAGUGUUGAUCUUGAAACAAUAAUAUUUACAUUAUUACAGAAUUCUUGAUGGAAUGGAAAAUAGAAAGAAGAAGAAUUGGGGUAAAGAGCGUGCACGAAGAAAAAAAAAAGAAAAUCAAAAUAAUAACGAUCUUAAAUUUUCUAAUUUUAUUAGUUAACUAAUUAAAAAUAAUUUUGUUUUAUGAAAAUGUGUAACAAUAUAUGCGAAAUUAUGUUAAGUAUAAAAUUGAUUCUUAAAUUCAAAUUUUGUGGUGAUUUAAAAAAAAAUUAUCAAAAUUAAAUUUUUGAGUUAAAAAAUUAUCAAAAUUAAAAUUUUGAUUUAAAAAAAUAUCAAAAUUAAAAUUUUGAUUUAAAAAAAUUAUCAAAAUUAAAUUUUAACUUUUAUAAGUGACUUUAGAGUCUCAAUAGUAAAUCUUAAAUGAGUCCUUAGUCAAGAUGAAACAAAAACAAAUGUAAAUUAUUUUAAAAAGUCAGCGUGCCCCUUAAAUUUCGUAAUUUCUACCAACGACAAGGACCGAUCAACAAAAAAAAAAUCCCAAAAAUUUCGUAAUUUCAAGAUUGGGGACGUGAACUUGAUAGCGAUAGUUGUCCAUUUUGUCAUUGUUGUAUGCCUGUCUGUAUCUAUUUUACUACUGUAUGCUCAAUUCAAUAAUUAGGGUACACAAUUUUGUGUGGCCAGCCUGGUUUCAUCAUUCAAAAUGCCAAUUUAGUCGUAUUAGUACCAAUUCAAAAAUUAAUCACGCAAAUGCGAGAAGAGAUGGAUACGAAUACUAACCAAGUCGAUAACAAUCCUUUGGCAUUCUGAUCUUAUCUGAGCUUUAGUUAGGGGAGCGUUGACAGAGACAAAUGAUAUUUAAACACUAUAGUGACAUUAAGAUAUGACUGAAGUGAUAGUACUGCGUGCAAACAAACAGUACAUACCAUUUUGGUCUGCCAUAGUGUUAUUGUUCAAUGAACAAAACAUUAUGGGUGGAACGUUAUUGCAAAAGAUACGAAUACUAAGUGGAUAAAAAAGAAAUAAAACUGUAAGUUUUAUUGCAAAAGAUACGUUAUUGCAAAACAUUUAUUUUUAACAUUUAACAUUAUUUUGUUUUAAAAAAUAAAAAAUAAAACUGUAAGUUCCGAUUAAAAAAAAUGAAAAAGAAAAACAAAUCAGUUGCUUAUUACUAUUGCUUGAAGAUUAUCAAUGAAGAACAUGAAUUGGAUUCUAAUAUAUAACUCUCUAGUAAAGAUAAGAGAAAAUUCUCUUUUUUUUAAAAAAAAAAAUAUAUUAUUUCAUUUAAAGACAUCACAGUGAUAUUUUGUUAAACAGAGACUUAAAUAUCUUGUUAACAAUAAUAGACUUAUUUAGAAUGAAGUUCUUUGAUAAAGAAUUAAAUUGGGUGAGAUAAUAAUCAUAUAUAAAUAAAAGACUGUUUUGGUAUAUAAAAGAACGUAUAGAAUAAAAAUUAAUUUUUAAAAUUUAUUAACUGAGUGUAAAAAAACAAAUGAUAUUCAAAAUUAAAUUUAGAGUGUAAAAAAUCGAAUGAUAUUCAAAAUUAAAUGUAGAGUGUAAAUAAUUCCAUUAUAAAAUUAAUUUUAUCGUGUUAAUGUUGCACUGAUUUGUGUCCUUUAAUAAAAGUCAAAAUUCUCUCGAAUUUUCAUGAUAAAAUUAAUAUUUCACUGCACCCAGUUACAGUACAGUACAUCUAGAGGACUAUUUAUAUAUGAGUUUCUUGUCAAAACACAAACUAGCUAAGUCUGCAGAAGAGUAGAAGAAAACAAAAAGGUAAUAGCUAGAAAUCAGUUAAUCUAAAUCUAUAUAACAUGGAGGCAAAAGCAACAGUUAUUGGGAAUUCUCUCGUGGAGCCUUCGAUUCUGGAGCUGGCAAAUAAUCUGCCACUGACAACUGUUCCGCCACGUUAUGUUCGCCCUGAGAUAGACCAUCCCUUGAUUCGCAACGACGAUUCUUCAGCACAACAACUUCCAGUCAUUGACAUGCACACGUUGCUCUCUGGGGAUGACUCAGAGCUUGAGAAGCUUGACCAUGCAUGUAAAGAGUGGGGUUUCUUUCAGGUACAUAAUAAUUGAGCAGUGAUAUUCAUAUAAUGAAAAUACUUAAUUGAUUGCAAAUCAUUGCUUUGGUUAGCGUUUUUUCAGGUCUCAGUGUUUUUACAUUUUCCAUAAAAAUCAUUUUACUUCCUGAGCUUUAAGUUUCCUAUAUGAACCAUGCAUGUAAAGACUGGGGUUUCUUUCAGGUACAUAACAAUUUAGCAGUGAUAUUCAGAUAAUAAAAAUUAGACAAAACGUUUACAAAAAACAAAGUAAAUCAGUACCGGAUUAGUCACUUGAUUGUAAACCCAUUAAACAGACUAAUUUAUCGUUGUUUUUGUCAGCAUUUUAUCAGCUCUCCGUUUCUUUAGCUUUUUCCAUAAAAAUCAUUUUGUUUCCAGAACUUCAAAAUUUCCUUUAUGAACCAUGUAUAUAUGGAAAGAACAUCUUGCUUUAAUUUGCAUAUAUGCGGUUGAUGAAUCAUGGAGUGAGCAGUUCAUUGGUGGAGAAAGUGAAAGCAGAGAUUCAAGAAUUCUUUAAUCUUCCAAUUGAUGAGAAAAAGAAGUUUUGGCAGCAGCCAGGAGAUAUUGAGGGAUUUGGGCAGCUUUUUAUUACGUCUGAAGAGCAGAAGCUUGAUUGGGGAUACGGCUUUACUAUGUUCACUCUCCCAACCCAUCUGAGGAAACCCCACUUGUUCCCCAAGUUGCCUCUUCCAUUCAGGUUCUAUACUUAAAUUUUAGACUUUUCUUAUAUAGAAUAUUCUAUCUUAUGAUAAUUACUGGACUAUAUAUUAUUAUUUGCAUGCAGAGAUGACUUGGAAGUUUACUUAACGGAACUUAAAAAUCUUACCUUGAAAAUCCUUGACCUAAUGGCUAAAGCUCUAAGAAUGGAUCCCAAUGACAUGAAAGAGCUGUUUGAAAACGGGAUGCAAUCAUUAAGGAUGAAUUAUUAUCCUCCUUGUCCGCAACCAGAGCAAGUUCUCGGCUUUAAGCCUCAUUCUGAUGGCUCCGUACUCACCAUCCUCCUCCAAAUCAAUGAGAUGGAUGGUCUCCAAAUUAAGAAAGAUGGAAAAUGGUUUGCUGUUAAGC